rnacentral:lncRNA from 1 species
GUAAGAAGGGAUGGGAACGACGGAACUUGUGAAUGCAAAAUAUUCUAUUGAAAAAGGAAUCUUAAUGAUUCAUUGGUCGGGAUGGCGGAAUGAACCAGAGAUUAAUUCAUGUAUUCGGAGAUCUGAGAAGUCACGAGUUAACCCUACAAAUGAAAUAGGGAUUGAAAGAGUCAAUAUUCGCCCGCGAAAACUUUUUUUAUUGCAAAAUUUAGGACAAUACAAUAAAGGACAACAUAAGAAUUUGGUAUAAUAAUACAAUUUUCUUUUUAGAUUUCUAUUUAUAAAACUCAAAAAUUUAGUUAUCUAUUCAAACAAGAUAUAAAUAAACCAAGAUUUUACCAUGACUGCAAUUUUAGAGAGACGCGAAAGCGAAAGCCUAUGGGUCGCUUCUGUAACUAGAUAACUAGCACUGAAAACCGUCUUUACAUUGAUGGUUUGGUGUUUUGAUGAUCCCUCUGACUCGGGUUCACCAAUUGAAUCGCGGCGCAUUGAACAAGCUACUUCAAAUUAGAGUCAAGCUGUGAGGGUUAGGGGUGGACAUAAAAUUCGAAAAACCGAACCGAACCGAAUUAAUUCGGUAUUUUGAUUUUGGUUUUUUCGAUAUUUCAAUCUAAUUCGGUAUUGCAUUUUCGGUAUUUCGAUACGGUUCACGGUAUUAGAAUUUUGAAAUUUUGUUAUACCGAAAUACCGAAAUUUUAAAGCCUUUUUGGACCCUGCCCAACCCCAAGCCCAAUUUUAUAAUUUAAUUCACAACUUCCCAUCGCCCCACCCCUACCCCAAGCCCACACUCUAAUUUCGUAGAAUUCGUCAUGGUUAUUCCUACUCCUGCUUUCUUUUAAGACAAAACAGUAAACAACAUGACAUUAAGGGUGUGUUUGGUAUAGCGGAAAAUAUUUUUCGUGGAAAAUAUUUUUCAAGAAAAUAUUUUUUCGACUUGGUAAACAAGUACUAAUCUUAUUCGUUUUUCAGUGUUUGGUAAGUAAAAUAAGAAAAAUGAAUUUCAAGAGUAUUCGUAAAUAAUUUAGAUAUAAUAAACAUGAAGUCAUAAAUUUUUCAAACUAGCUAACAACCUUCUGAACUCACAAAUUUCAUAAACUUUCGAAUCGCUAAACUUUCAAAAUCGCGAAAUUUGAACCUGUAAACUUUAUAAUUUCUAAACCCGUAAACAUCCAAACACAUAAAUCUCCGAACUCAUAAUUUUGGAACUUGUAAAAAUUUGAAUCUUUAAACAGUUAAAUAAAAAAAAAAAAUUGAAAAAUAUUUUUUCGGAGGGGAUGAGGAAGGGUGGGGGAGUAAGAUAAAAAUCGAAAUUUAAAUUACAAAAAAGGUAAAAAAAAAAAUUCUAUGUGGGAANNNNNNNNNNNNNNNNNNNNNNNNNNNNNNNNNNNNNNNNNNNNNNNNNNNNNNNGUGGGGUGGGUGAGUGGUUACGGAAAACUGACUUUUUUUUUUUAAUUAAAAAGCCUUUUUUGGAGAGAGGAUGUGGUGGGUUGGUGAGGGUGAGGAAGGUUGAGAGGGAGAUUUGGAAAAUAUUUUCCAUUUUCUUGAUAAUGAAAACAUUUUCCUCCAAUUUGAGGAAAAUGAGUUAUAAGAAAAAUGUUUUCCAAAACAUUUAACCCAACCAAACAGAAAAAUUGGAAAACAAUUUUCGGAAAAUAUUUUCCUUCAUACCAAACACACCCUAAAAGGUAAGCUUUGAUACAGAGCAGAAUACAUGACGAACCCCUUUGCAUACAACUCGUGCUAAACAUUCUGCACAACAUCUGCAAAAAAGCACUUACACUAUUUACACACACUAUCACAAGACCACAGAGAACAUUCUCAACCAGAAAAAUGUCAAGGAUGUCAACUACAUUCAGCCGCCUCAUGAGGGGUAACAAAAAAGAAAACCUAACUUACAUCUCACAGGUCGUAAGUAGGACGAGGGCUUGUGCCGCCAUUAUCUGACCUCUUUUUUCCCAUGUUAUUGCACUUAAAUCAUUAUCCAUCUUUGUGUUGCUUAUUUAGAAAAUAUUAAGUCGAACCGUACCGAACCAAAAUAAUAAAUAUCGAACCGUACCGAAAUAAUUUGGUACGGCAUUUGGUAUGUACAAUUGAUCAAUCGAAUACCGAACCGAAAUUCUUAAAUACCUAACCGAAAUACCGAAUGCCCGCCUCUAAUGAGGAUUUAUCGAAAAUAGCGUCUUUAUAUUUGUAAGGUCUGCAAGAUUUAACAUUUUGAUUUAGUUAAAUUAAUNNNNNNNNNNNNNNNNNNNNNNNNNNNNNNNNNNNNNNNNNNNNNNNNNNNNNNNNNNNNNNNNNNNNNNUAUAUAUAUAUAUAUAUAUUAACUAUACAGCAUAACUGAUCAAUUUCAUCAUAUGUGGCUACGCCACUACCCCUUGGUAAAAACUUAUUCGCACCGAUUAUUUACACCAAACCGAUAAAAACAUAACAUGUUUCUUGUAUAUGGACUUUAAUUAUUUAACCAUAGUAAAUUACUAAAUUAUAUAUAUUCUUAUCUAAUUAAAUUAGUUAACCAUAAUUAAUUAAUAUAAUUUGGUGUACCUUUCCCAUAUUAUAUUUGUGGAUUUGUAUAUAAAUAUUGUUGUUGUUAUUGUUAUUAUACCAAAGAGACAAAAGUAUUUACGGAUCUAUGAUGUAGAUAAGUAUUCUUUUAAAACAUUCUGUUUGGCAAAAUUAAAUCGCUAAAACUACCUGCACCGAUGAUUAACGUAAGAUAUUUUUUAACACUAACCUAAGUGGUAGAAACUGUCAAAAAGUUUGACUAUGGAGCAGAGUGAGCAAUGACCAAACCAAGUUUUACAGUACCAAAUAGAGUAAGUGUCAACACAAGAAAGCGGUAAAGAAAAAGUUAAAAAAUACUUUUACCUACAUCUACUCCUAGAUUUUAGUAACUAAGUGCUAGUAAAACUCUCUAAAUUCUAGUAAAAAAAAAGUUAAAAAAUACUUUUACCUACAUCUACUCCUAGAUUUUAGUAACUAAGUGCUAGUAAAACUCUCUAAAUUCUAUACUAUAAACUUUCCUCUCCAUUUUCGCUCUCUGCAUCUACCAUUUUUUCCACUUUGUUCAUCAACAAACAAACAGACCUAAAUUGAUUUGAGAGUAUUUUUCUUCUUCUUUUGUCUUAUGAGAUGACAGGUUAUAGAUUACCAACGAUGAAUAAUAAUAUACGGAUCAGUACUAUUUCAGUUUCUCCGGCGUUGGUGUCGGUGACGGGAACUGCCGGAGACCCAUUAAAGUCGAUGCCGUUUUUUAGCGUCGAGUCGCUGCAACAGCGACUCCAGACAUUAAUAGAGGGGGCUCGUGAAGCGUGGACGUAUGCCAUAUUCUGGCAAUCGUCCGUCGUGGAUUUUGCGAGACCUUUGGAGUUGAGAUGGGGUAAUGGGUAUUAUAUCGGGGAAGAAGACAAGAAUAAGUGUAAGACGACGUCGUUUUCACCUUAUUUUAUCGCGGAGCAAGAACACCGGAAAAAAGUUCUCCGGGAAGUGAAUUCUUUAAUUUCCGGCACACAAACUAGUAGUGAAAAUGACGUUGUGGAUGAAGUGGUAACAGAUACUGAAUGGUUUUUUCUUAUUUCAAUGUCCCAGUCCUUCGUUAACGGUAGCGGGCUUCCGGGCCAGGCAAUGCAUAAUUCAAGCCCGAUUUGGGUUACUGGAACAGAGAGAUUAGCUGCUUUUAACUGCGAACGGGCCCGACAGGCCCAAGGAUACGGGCUUCAGACUAUGGUUUGUAUUCCUACAACUGAUGGUGUCGUUGAGCUCGGGUCAACUGAGUUGAUAUCCCAGAGCUCAGAUUUGAUGGACAUGGUUAAAGUCUUGUUUAACUUUAACACUGAUAUGGGCUCGCCUACGGGCUUGGAAUCGGGCUCAUUUGUUCGAUCUGAGCCCGAUCUGUCAGCCCUUCGGCUUACGGAUUCGUAAAGGAUUCGUUGAAUACAACUUCUUCAAGUAACAGCAGUAAGCAAAUUUUGUUUGGAAAUGAGAAUUUUGAAAGUGGUCAUCAAAAUUCUCAGCAAACACAAUCAUUAUUAUUUUUUUACUAUGGAGUUGAAUUUUUCUGCAUAAUGGAAGUAAUAAUUCCCAUUUUCAUUUCCAUUCGUAGUAUUACUUCCAUCAAAUCUUCGAACAAUGAAGAAGUCGACCAAAAAUGUUAGUAUUUUUUUUUCUUUUUAUUUGUUGUUUGCUUUCCUAUUCAAAUUGCACUUGCAUUUAUUUUAUACGACUAUAAUAAUAUUUGACGUUUAAAUAUUUUUUGACGAAUAAAAAUUAUUCUAAACAUAUAAAAGAUAAAAAAUUACUCAAAUUUAAAAUGCCAAAAUAUAUUCAUAUUUCACUAGUUAAAUAUUGAAGAAAGUUAAUACGUAAUUAAUAAAUUCAUAAUUAAAAGUAUAAAAAUUUAAACUCUAAGAAAAAUAUUUUAAAACUACCUAAAAAAUCAAAAUUAAUGGAAGAACUCUGUAAUUGCAACUUGAAUUGGCGAAGAUUCGCAUCUAAAUUUUCAACAAAAAAGUAUCUAGUAACUUUCCCUUAAAGAUAAUGUAAGAGUUUAACAAUUAAACUUUCUAUCUAAAUAUUUUUUGUUGAAUUUUAUCUAAUAAAAAAGAUACUCAUCUGCAAAUGUUCACGAUACUCUUCAAGAUUGAUGUGGUUAAUUUUACAAUUAUAUCAUGAUACUCUUCAAAAGGGAUAAGAAGGAUGGUUAAAUGCAUUUUUUAAUGUUUGGUACUGAGGUUACACAUACCUUAUUUUUCUUUAAAUAUCAAUCAAAGAUUACCAACACGUGAUUGAUUUUAUACAUUUUAUCUCCCUAUUAUAUUGUCUGCCACUCUUGUAUAUGGGUAAAAAACAUAUAAGGAACUCAUUGCAGUAGCCUAAAUAGUGAGCCGCCAACGAGAGUAAACCUAUUUUCUGUUUAGUCAAUUUUAUAAAGAAUGAAUUCUUUUUAAAUUUAACAAUAAUUUAAAUUUAAAAUUAUAAUGCUUUUAUCUUUAAUGAAAUAAUUUUUAAUCACAAAAAUAUAUAUGAAUUACUUUGGAAGAUAAGUUUCAAGGGUUUUCUUUUUCUUCUUAAACUCCGUAUUCAGUCAAAUUAGUUACACAUUUUCUUAUAAGAAUUUAAGUUAUAUACAUAGUAAGUUUUUCUAUUUUUCCAAAAUAAUUAUACUUUUAUACUCUUAUUACAACUUAUAUACCAAGGAUGUGGUGGGAUAAAAAAGAGACUCCUUUUUAACAAGAUAUCUGUGUUUCCUGUAAAUGAAGAAAUUCUUACUAGAGAACAUUUCCUUCUUUAAUGCGUCUUAUGCGGCAUGAAUAUGAGAGAAAAUGCACAAACAACCAUUUGUAGGACUUUUAUUUAAAAGAAUUCCUGAAUAUUAUAAAAAAGUAAAUAAAAUUUAGUCGCGUUUUCAGACCGUCAGAUUUGUAAUUUAAAUUGCAAGAGUCGAACAUUAAGCCUUUGGAUCUAAUUACACAUUGUAUUUUUACAUAAGCGUCUACAAUUAUUAGAAAACUCAUCAAUAUAUACAAUUAAUCUUUUUACUUUUAUGUCUCUACUUGAUUGAAGAUUCUUGUUUGUAAUUCUCGAGAGAAUUUCUUUCUUUUGUUUAUUGAAUAUUGCAUUUCAAUUACCUUUUAUUCUUUUAUUUUUGAAAAAUUAAAGUAAACUUGGAUAUUUGAAACGCGAUUUACUUUGACUUUGAUCAUAAAAACCACUUUUUGAUUAAACAAACAGUUCCCUUAAAAUUGAUUUCCUAGUGUGUUUCUACGGGUAAAUUUGGGUAAACUUCUGAGAUCAAUGAGCUUCGAAUAUUGAUUGGGAUGAAGUGCACAAUAUAUUUAAAGAUAGUCAAUUCAUCUAAAUUUCAGAACUAAAAUUCCUGAAUUUUUAUAUCCUAAAUUUUGAGUUUCUAAUUUGAAAUUUAAGACUUAGUGCCCCAAAAAAUUAUUAGCUGUUAAUUUAUCAUUCAGGACUAAGUGACCUAAAAUUUUUAAUUGCUAAUUUAAAAUUAAAGAUAUAAAUUCUAAUUUCUGUAUACAAUAUUUGAACUUUAAGAUACAAUGUUCAAAAGUAUGAAUUCUAAGAUUUAAACUUCAGGGUUCAAACUUCAGAAUGAUUAAACGAAUUGGCUAAUCUUUGAAUAAAUUAAAAACUAUAAAUAUAUUUUAAAUUUUAGGCUUAAAAGUGGCUGUCUGGUGUCCUUUCCACCUUCAAUUGUCAUAAAAAAAUCUUCUACUUUCAAAAUGUUAUAAAUAGAAUUCUAUUUAAGGUGAAUGUCUAUAUUCUAGAGAGAUUCUAGGAUUUAUUACUUGGUGGCUAAUUCACCCUCUCCCUAUAAAUAGAGGGUUCUAUUCCAUUGUAAAUUAUCCCAAAAAGCAAUAAGAAUUCUCUCUCUAGUUUGCUCUGCAAUACUCUUCUUCUUCUUUUAUUAUUUCAUAAUACGUUAUCAGUACAAGACUCUAACCAAUUGAGUGGAAGCUUUGGGAUUGAGCAUAAUAUGGACAUGACAAUAGACGAAUAAAUUAUAAUCGACAUCAUUACUCAAUGAGAAUAAUAUGGAUUCUCAAAAUAAUCCUUCACUUUGUGAAAGUAAUAUUUGUCAUCAAUUUGACGUGAGAUUUUACAAAGCACAUAUAGAUGAUUAUGGUUCAUUCAUGAUGUGAAUAUGACAACAUGUGAUUUAUGAACACAUAUUCAUUAUUGGAAGAAUAUGAACGUGCUAGUGGUAGUGAAUAUUAUACACUCACCUCUAGAGGAAUGUUUAAGAUGAAAUAAGAAAAUAAUGUCAUUAUUAUGGCAUGAAUGGUAAUUGGUCACGUACCUAUUGUACGCCAAAAUAUUUUUAAAAUGUGAUUAUUAAAAGACAAUGGUAAUGCAAAAAGUGGAUCUUGCAUAUAAUUUGACCAUGACCACAAUAGUAUAACUUUUUCUUUAAAAGAUAUAUUCUUCACAUAGAUGUUGAUAAAUCUAUGGUAGUACUAAAGUAAUUGAGAGCUCUCGAAGAGCCAAUUAUUACUAUGUUGGAAAAACACAAUUGAUUACCAAUAAGGUAUUGUGUUGCAGUAAAUCUCAAAGAAAUUUAUUUAGUUUCUAAAGUAUAUGCAAAAGCAGUUGUCACGGCCAAAACCCCGCUCCGGUCGUGAUGGCGCCUCUUGUAAAGACAAAGCCAGCCAACACAUUUAAACAACCUUUUCAACAAUAGAUAAACAAAAAUAACAGUUUCAACUAUAAUUUAGUGACAUUAUUUAGCGGAAAUACAACCCAACACAGACCUAACCGGGGUGUCACAAGUCACGAGCAUCUAAAGGAGUCUAAAAACAUUUACAAGAAUAGUAGUAUACAUUAUGAAAUUUAAAGUCAAAAGGGUAUAAAAUCCGGUGCCGCGCACGCUGGCGGCCACCUGGCUUAGCUAUGUUUGCAAAUCUUCAAUCAGCUCAAAACCCGCUACCGGGUAACAAAUCUACAUCUGCACACGAGGUGCAGGGAGUAAAGUGAGUACUCCAACUCAAUGAGUAAUAAAAGUAAAUAAUAACAGAGCAGUAAGAAAUCACGUAAAACAUAUCUUCAUGCCGUAUAGAAGCAGAGAAAAACUCUUCAAUUGAGAAAAGUCAGUGAAAUCCAUGAAAAUAUUUAGAAAUAUUCUGGCUCAGUUUUAAAUCUCUUUUGAAAAUGAUCCUUUCAAUAGUUGCGAAAAUAAUUAAUAAUCAGAAAUCUGCCCCUCGGGCUCAAUAUCAACCUCUCAGUACAGUAUCAGCCACACUGACUCACUCCCAACUCACAAAGUACAACUUCAGCCUCUCGACUCACAAUUAUCACCAGAGUAUUUGGUAAGCAGUACAAGAAGUAGCAUGGAUGCCAAUAAAAUAGGAGUGCUGAAUGUCUUGACAAGUAGUACAAAUAGGAUCAAAUGCAUGAAUGCAAUGCAUAUGAUGGUACAUUCCAGUACCCACAGCUGCGUACAGCUCGAGCCAUCCAUAUUUAUUUACCGUCGAUGGCCCUCACUAGGGGUGUGUACAGACUGCAGAGGGGCUCCUACAGCCCAAGCGCCAAUAUCUAGGUCAAUCAUUGUUACCUGACCGAUCAACAAUUGUUACGUAACCAAUUUACAUUAUACACAGUGCCAUUGUUACCACUGUUUCAAGCCACAUCAUACAGUGUCAUUGUUACCAUUGUUUCAAGUCACAUCAUACGCUAUCGUUGUUACCAUUGUUCAAGUUACAUCAUGCAGUGUCAUUGUUACCACUGAUCCAAAUCAUUGCUCGGUCCAGAAAACAAUAUAAGCUCCAUGGGAAUUUAUAAAACAGUAGUUCUCAUCCCGAAAUAACAUUUAAAAUACCAUUUGAGUUUUCAAAACUUAGAAAUAUGGAUGAGUUCGCAAAAUAGAAUUUAAAACCUUGGACUGAGACCAAAUGAUAUGCAAAAUAUGCUAAACAGUAAUAUCAAUCCCCGAAGGAUUCUACAAGUCGGCCUAAGGUCCCAAACAUGGUAACGAGCCCAGUAAAUAUCAAUAAAGUAUGUGUAUCAAUCACUAGUAUAAUAUAAAUAUCACACGGGAUGGACCAAGUCACGAUCCAAAAUAGUAACCGACCCCGCACUUGUCAUGGAGUGUUUAAUAUCAAUAAAGUAUGUGUAUCAAUCACCAGUAUAGUAUAAAUAUCACACGGGAUGGACUAAGUCAUGAUCUCCAAUAGUAUCCGACCCUGCACUCGUCAUGGAGUGCGUGUCACGCCUCAAUAUAGCGUUACGAUGUGAAAUUCGGGGUUUCAAACCCUCAGGAUAUCAUUUACAAGCAUUACUCACCUCGAAUCGGCGAAAUCUCUAGCCCACGAUGUCUUUGCUCCUUAAAUCAGCCUCCACGAGCGUCGAAUCUAUCCAAAUUCAGAGCGAAUACAUCACAAUAUGCUAAGGGAAUAAAGCAAAAGUAAAAACAAUCAAAUUCGGGCACAAAUCCCAAUAUUACCAAAACCCGAGCCCUGGACCCACAUUUCGAAACUCACCAAUUUUUACAUAUUUAGAUUUCUCAUCUUUCCACGAGUUCAUAGAUACCAAGAAUGUCAAAAUCGGAGUUUAAAUGACCCAUCAAAUCCUCAAUUUAAAAUCUCAAAACUCAAGCCCCAGUUCUUCCCAAAUUCCAUCUCAAAUCACUAAUUAAAUGAUGAAUUCAAUGGUAUAUUCAUGUAUUCUAACCUCAUCUGAGUUAAAAUCACUAACCCCGAUGAAUUUCUUGAAAAACCUUCGAAAAAUCGCCAAAACCCGAGCUUUAUAGGUCAAAAUAUCAAAUAAAACCCAAAACCUUUACCCUGAUGCAUGUCUUGAAAAACCUUCGAAAAAUCGCCAAAAUCCAAGCUCUAUAGUUCAAAAUAUCAAAUAUAACCCAAAACCUCGUAUUCAUAGAGUACCCCUCCGAUUCAAACAGCGCUGACCGCAGAAAAAUGACCUGCCUCGUGCCCAGGAAGCGUGGUCCGCGCAAAAAUGGUUGCGACCGCGCAGGAAUUUGACUGUAGUGAUAAGCUUCAGUAUUUUGGUUAUAACUUUCUCUACAAAUGUCCAAACUACGAAUCAUCUCAAAAUUCCUUGUAAAUCAAAAAAUAUGAGCUUCCGAAGUAGGACCAGUAGCCUGCAGAUUCUUCCCGUGCGCAGCCGCACACCCAGCGCGAGAAGGAGCGCGGUCCCCGCCGCCAGUGCUGCCCCCUCCAUUUUUCUAAGUUCCAGGGUGUCCGUACUCGCUCAAAAUUCACUCGAAACACACUCGAGGCCCUCAGACCUCAACCAAAGGCAUCAACAAGUCUGAAAACACAUCACGAACUUAGUCGAGACCUCAAAUCACAUCACAUAUCAUCAAAAUUACCAAUUAUGUAUGGAUUCAAGCCUAAGAACUUAUUAAGUUUUCAAAUUUCACAACCGAUGUCGAAACACGUCAAAACUAGUCCGAAUGACCUCAAAUUUUGCAGACAAGUUCAUAAUGACAUAACGAAGUUACAGAAACUCUCAGAAUUCUAUUCCGACCCUCGAAUCAAAAUCUCACCUAUCAACCGGAAUUCACCAAAAUACUAAUUUUGCCAAUUAAAGCCUAAUUCUACACCCUCCCUCCAAAACUACUUCCGAUCACUCUCCUAAGUCACAAAUCACCUUCUAAAGCUAACCGAAAUGUCAAAACUCACAUCCGAACCCUCUAACACAUAAGUCAACAUUCGGUUGACUUUUCCAACUUAAGCUUUCUUAAAAGAGACUAAGUGUCUUAUUUCUUAUCAAAACCACUCCAAAACAACUCGAUACAGAUAAUGAAGCAUAAAGAAGUUGAAAAUGAGGAAAAAGGAGCGGUAACUCAUGAGACGACAGGUUGGAUCGUCACAUCCUCCCCAACUAAAAGAAACGCUCGUCCUCGAGCGUACCCAGAGUUGUUCUAGAAGCCAAACACUAGCUGAAUAACCUUAUCUCUCAUCUACCUUGGGGUGAUCCCACGUCAUGACAUGUCGGAUCGUCACAUCCUCCCCAACUUAAAGAAACGGUCGUCCUCGAGCGUACCCAGAGUUGAUAUUGAAGCCAAACACUCGCUGAAUAACCUUAUCUCUCAUCUAACUUGGGGUGAUCCCACGUCAACCUAUCUCAUAUGGGUUCGACAACACAUUGUUUGUGAAAUUUUUGCAAUCCCACCUAGCCCAUAAGCCACAGGGCACAUUUUUUUUUAUCUUUCAUAUGAUUAGAAUCCCACAGUUAUAUUGUGAAUAAGCUGAACAAGCUUCAAUAACCUAUACCUGAAACCUCAAGUGAAAUUACAUGACCUAACGCAUGACUCAAACGCUCGCAGUGAUAACUCCCAUUAACGGCAACUGCACACAAUGCCUGAAUACCGGUAGAACACCUCUUAACAACUCAAGUUUCUUUUCAAUUCUUUUAUAUAUACUGCAACUGAUAACUAAAACACGAAGUAAACUAUCACCAUUUAUUGGUCAACUAUUCAUGGAACCACUUCUCCUUUGGAAAAUACUACAUCAAAUUUCUAAGUCGAAGUUCGAUAUUAUCUUUCCAACACACUGAAAUCUAAUCUGCUCCUACUCAUUAAAGAUCUCAAUGAUCUCAUUUAAUUAGCACACUACUCUUGUGAUAUUACACAUUCAUACAGGACUAAGCCACAACUCAAAGUCAACAAAACCGUCUCGAUGCUGGUCAUAUAUCCAUAUAGGUCUACCAAUGGACGACACAUCAACUCCAGUUACUCACAACAAAUAAAAUAACCCUUCGAAGUUCCACACUGAAUAGAUCAUAACACGUACUAAUAUCUGACUAACUUACCCACAUUUUUCCAUCCACAAUCGCAAGCUAACAUGUAUAUGAGAACUCCAGUCUCCAAGUCCAUAAAACACACGAAUUACCAUAUAUGAUCCCACUUCUGCUACUCUCUUAUAUAACUCACCUCUAGUUCCUAGUUAAAUCAGGAGAGAUACUCUAAAAUUCUUCUACGCCACCCAACAAGCUUGAAUAUCAGUAGUCGAUCUAUCUUGAAAGUGCCACACUACUACUAAGUGCCAUUUACUUAAUCACAUUGCCCUUUUUCUUUGAAACAUAUAAUCUCAUCAAAUCAUUUCCAACUAGCGGUACCAUUUCCUUAGUUAUUUGAGGCUACCCGCUGCUAAGAGUUUUAUAAACUCCCUUUCAGAACUGAACUGAACCAUACACACGCUAAUCUCGAUCCUCCACUAUAUAUCACACAUAACAUACCAUUCUUGUAUAAUAUGAGAACUUUAUCUCCCUUCCGAGCCACAAGAAUCUACGUACUCAACUAGUCCAGAAGUUUCAUUUAUCCUUUUUAGAAGAAGAAUCACGAUACAUCCCAUGUCUCUCUUAUCCGUAGAAAAUGUACCUCUUCAACCACGGUAGAAACCAUCAAGGACUCUCCGAUUUACCAUUGCACAAAUCAGACUUUCCCGGAUUGAAUCCUUCUAACUCAACCAAGCUAAGCAAGCCAUCAAAACCUAAGAGCAUUGCUGCAAAAAUACUUGUAAGGGAUCAUUACCCUGAACACAUACGAAGAAUUAAUCAUAUCCUUACCAUACCGAUUCGGUCUACUAUCAAGAUAUUCCCUCUAUCUAAUUUCCCUUCCGAUUCAUCAUAAACUUGAUGUUCCCCCUUGCUGUAGCACAUCAGUUCCUUAACCCAGGCUCACUACACGAGACUCGAGAACAAGACCACACUGUCUCAGACCCAUAAGCCACUGAAUCCUCUCUCAAAUAUUCCCAGAAACACCACAUUCCAAAAUACUCUACUAUGAAGAACUUCCUCCGAAUCUAAGUCUGUUACCUUUACUUUCCAAAUACUGAUACAUAUAAUCCCUUAAUUAACAUAAAAAUGCCACAAGUCUUGACCUUUUCUUAACAUAGCCUCUGACCACAUACAAAACCUUAUGACACCUGAUGGUUACAUGUAGAAUCUUGAACAUGAUAAAACCAUUCUCGAGAGUCAUUUACUUCUUAUUCAAACUGCAAUUUACCUGAUCCAACGAACAAAACCACCCAUGCCUCAUUAACACUCUAACACAGCAGGGUAUGGCCUCAUUCCAAUACAACCAAACAUGUUCUUCCCCCAUGCACCGAGCGUUCUCUACCAACUGCAACUCUAAACAUUCCGUGAUCCUCAUACCCCAUGAAACAUAAUAUAACCUUUGUCAAAAUUUUAUUUUACUGUAGCCAUUCUCGGCCUAAUUUCUACAACCAGAACUGAUUCACCGGCAUGCAUCAAAUCGGAAAUAACAUAGUACAUAAUUGUACAAUCUGCUAACCAAUAGCAAGAUCCCCAAAUUGGCUCGAAGCCAUAUAUCACAACACACUAUACUCAUAACGCAUAUACUCUAUUGCUGUCAUAAUACCAUAGUGAGAUUGAACUCACUCUUUCAUUAUUUUGUGGAAAUACAAAUCGUCGUAAAUUUUAAAUCUUCUGCAAUUUUUGCAUGCGCCCACACAACAAUUAAGCCCACUCUUUAGGCGACAACUUUUUUUACUAAGUCCCAAAAUUUUCAAAAAUUUCGGCAGAGUUUUCUUUGUAAUUGGGCCUAUCCACCCGCCAGAGAAUCACCAAAACCAUCCUAACAAUACGUCCACAACUUGACAAAGCAUCACAAUGUAGGCAGAGUUUCUUUUGUAAUUGGGCCUAUCCACCCGCCAGAGAAUCACCAAAACCAUCCUAACAACACGUCCACAACUUGACAAAGCAUCACAAUGGAUAUCAAAAACAUUAAUCUCAAUAUUAGAUGUAUUAUAUUAUCAAAACUGAUACAUGGACAUGCGUUGCUCCUAUUUGAUUCAUAAGACAUAGAAAAUACCUUUCAAUCCUUCAUUAUUGGGCUAUUCAACUGAGUAAGAACAUAUUCUUUCUUUAAUGUUUUCGACCUUCAAGGUGGUCUCCCUGACUCAACGAUUUUGUCAUAAUACAUUUACAGAAGCGAUCUCAACUCCCAGACUUAUCUAACUAGUAUGACAAAUAGAUUCCCCUCAUAAGCCAAUUACCCACUAGCUUUACCUUUAAUUAAUAUUUUUGUAUACCUUCCGCUGCCAUACACAUUACACAAUCACUUACUCUUCCUGAGUCUAAACUCAUACCGUAAUAUGAAAUUUACUUCACUCCAAACAGGAGACAUAAAAAUAUUCUUCACGCACCCAUAACUUGGGACUACACAUCCUAUCACAAUGGAAAUCAUACACUCAAUAGUUCAUCUAUCAUCCAGUAGGCCUUCCUCGUCACUUCCAAGUCAUAUAGAUACAUCUCGCAGUACUAUCAUACUCCUCACAUAGCUAUCCAGCCAGGAUUCCUACUAAUAGGGACACCGACACUUCCAAGUCAUAUAGAUAUAUCUCCCAGUACUACCAUACUCAUCACUUAGCUAUCCAACCAGGAUUCCCACUAAUAUGGACAAUAGCGAACAUAAAGGUUCAAAACACUUGCUCGCAGAAUCAACAUCUUGGUGCUCAAGCCAUUGGAAAAUAUUCGGCCUCAAGUCCUCCAGACUUACCUAACAUCAAACUCGAAGCGAUCACGUCUCGCCCCUCAAUCAGGGAGUAGCGAGCCAUCAAAGCACAUCUGAUACUGAGUGCGCAUGUGCGCAUGCGAACGCGUGGAAGAAAUUUCAAGAAUUACUUUUCAAGCUGAAUCAAGAACGCACGAUAAGAAUUCAAGAAUGUGAAGUUUUCCUAAAGGUUCUGAAGCCUCUCGAGGAUAAAUACAGACGUCUCCGUACCGAUCCAUGAGACUCUAUUAAACCUGCUCAUGGCUCGUGAGAUUUAGUAACCUAGUCUCUGGUACCAACUUAUCACGACCCAAACCCCGCUCUGGUUGUGAUGACGCCUCACGUGAAGACAAGGUCAACCAAUACGUUUAAUCAACCUUUUCAACAAUAGAUAAACAAAGAUAGCAGUUUCAAAGAUAAUUUCAUGACAUUAUUUAGCGAAAAUAACCCAGCACAGCCCUAACCGGGGCGUCACAAGUCACGAGCAUAUAAAGGAGUCUAAAUACAUUUACAAGACCAGUAGUAUACAUUAUGAGAGUUAAAAGUCAAAAGGGUAUAAAAUCCGGUGCGGCGAACGCUGGCUGUCAACUGGCUCAACUAUGUUUGCAAAUCUUCAAUCAGCUCGAAACCUGCUACCGAGCAAGAAACCUGCAUCUGCAUACAAGAUGCAGGGAGUAAAGUGAGUACUCCAACUCAGUGAGUAAUAAAAGUAAAUAAUAACCGCGCAGGAAUUUGAAUGUAGUGAUAUGAUUCAGUUUUUUGGCUAUAACUUUCGCUAGAAAUGUCCAAAUUACAAUUUCCUUAGCUUUCUAGAAACUAGACACAAAGAGAUACAACUUUCGUUUUCGUAUCACCUCACAAUUCCUUGCAUAUCAAAAGAUAUGAGCAUCUGAAGUAGGACCAACAGCCUGCAGAUUUUUCCAGUGCGCGCCCAGCGCGAGAAGGAGCAUGGUCCGCGCCGCCACUGCUGCCCCCUCCAUUUUUCUAAGUUUUGGGGUAUCCGUACUCGUUCAAAACUCACCCGAGACACACUCGAGGCCCCCCAAAACUUCAACCAAAAGCACCAACAAGUCUGAAAAAACAUCACGGACUUAGUCGAGGCCUCAAAUCACAUCACAUAUCAUCAAAAUCACCAUUUAUGCAUGGAAUCAAGCCUAAUAACUUAUUAAAUUUUCAAAUUUCACAACCGAUGCCGAAACAUGUCAAAAUAGUCCGAAUGAACUCAAAUUUUGUAGACAAGUCCAAGAUGACAUAACGAAGUUAUAGAAACUCUCGGAAUUCUAUUCCGACCCUCGAAUUAAAAUCUCACCUAUCAACCGGAAUUUGCUAAAAUACUAACUUUGCCAAUUCAAGCCUAAUUCUAUAUCGCACCUCCAAAACCACUUCCGAUCACUCUACUAAGUCACAAAUCACCUUCCAAAGCUAACCGAAAUAUUAGAAUCCACAUCCGAACCCUCUAACAUAUAAGUCAAUAUCCGGUUUACUUUUUCAACUUAAGCCUUCUUAAAAGAGACUAAGUGUCUCUUUUCUUAUCAAAACCACUCCAAAUCAACUCGAUCAUAUAAGAUACGGAUAAUGAAGCAUAAAGAAGUUGAAAAUGUGGAAAAAUGAGUGGUAACUCAUGAGACGACGGGUUGGGUCAUCACAACGGUUGAUUAUAUUUAGACUAUAAAUAAAGGAAAGAUUUAAUAUUCUAUGUUACUACAACUUGUAGCGGAGUAAUAUGUAUGUGAAAGGCUACCCGCUUUAUUCUCCAGUUUGUACCUACACAAAUAAAAGAAUACCACAAUAAAUUUAUUGAUAUAAAAACCCAUAUCAUAAUAAACUUGGAGUGUAUUGAUAAUUGCAUGCGUCAUGGUGUAAAUCUUAAGUUUAUCAAUAUUGAUAAUUUAUUCAGUUAGCAUAAAUGGUUUAGACAUAUCAAUUUAAGUAUGAUGUGCAAAUAUAAUAGGGAAUUCACAUGGGUAAAUAUUAAAUAACUAGAAAGUUCUUUACAAAUUCUCUUAUAUUACUUGUUCUCUUUAAUUAAUAAACCAACUAAAAUUGGGAUUAAAUCCCAUAAAUUUAGAAAUCGCAAAGGUGAAUAUGAGCCCAUUCACCUGCCAUAUAUACCACAUAAGAUGCAUUUAUGAGAUGGUUACAUGUGCAAUUAUUAUUAACUCGCAAUAUGGUAUUUUGCGAGGUAACUUGCUUGCUCAAUAAUUUAAUUUCGAGCAUAAUUUCCAAAUUUUUUAUUCAACAAGCUCAUCUUCAUAAGUUAGUUUAUAUCACAACUGGUUUAGCACAAUACUUUAUUAAGUGCCUCCACUUAAUAGCUAAACCAUUGCUUAUGAGAACAAAGUUAUCUAUAUCAGUUGAUAUACGUUAUAUACAAAAAUAUAUUAUAUUCUUCCCUCAUAAGUGGUUCAGGGUCAGGAACCAAAUAAUUCCAUCUUAUUAUUAUUGAUGUGCAGUGUAUUUGGAUUAGCACAAUAACGCACAAAGAUGAGUUUCUAAAAUUGAGGAAGCAAGUUAAUUUUUCUAACAUAAGGGGAAGAAAUGAUAAACAGUUGAGAAAAAGUUACGUGGAAUGAAUUAUUAUUUGUAUAUCUAGAUCCUCGAAUACGAUACUAUGAACUUGAAAUUCAUAAAAGGAUAAUUCAUCUGCAAUAUAUUGCCAAGCAUGCCAGACGCAUUUUCUGACUCAAAGAAAGUAACUAUAUUCUCAUUGCAAAUGCUCAUAUUAAGUCCUAGAAAGGACAAAGUCUAUGGUAUGCUUAAAGCGUACAGACAAAUCGGUUUCAAAUAGAGCUUCUUGAUAAAGAAGAUGAGAAAAUGAUCAUAAUAAGGAGGCAAAUGAUCUAGAAGAUCACAUGACAUAACACUUGGUACUUGAAUAUAUGAAAUAAUAGCGCUAUAUAUAUAUAUAUAAUAUAUAUAUAUAUAUAUGGGGAUCUUAAGUCUGGAGAAACAAUUUCGAAUAGAAUUGGUUUCAUAUGAAAGACAUAUAGUUUUGAGCAUGUAGUUCAAAUACUUAAAAAUAUAAAGCCAAUGAUGUGUGCAAUCAGCUUUCGAUAUCUUAUAUGUCCAACAUGACAUGAAAACUUGAUAUGCAUCUAAAGUCUCUUUGGAUGGCUUAUAUGACUUAAGUUAGAUAACAAUCCAUGAAGGAUUUAAAUUGCUUGAAACAUAUACAAUUCUUGAUUUUGAAGUAGCACAUCCUCAAUGUAAUUUAUGCACAAAUGUAUCUUGCUAUAACUAUAAGCAUGAUAAUGUGAUAGCGAGAAUACCCAUAUGGAGAUAUUAAAGAGCCAUUCCACGAUAAUUGUUAAGACAUUAUAUAUCUAUCACGAUUGAUGAUUUCAAGGUACAAAAUAUUCAUUCAAGUUAAUAUGAUUGAUUUGUUUAUCAAAUCUCUAUCAAAGAUCUUUUGAAGAUGGUGCACAAUAUUGGAAUGCAAAUGCUUAAAUAUGUGAAUUGAUGCUCUUAUCACGGGAGUUAAUGCGCGUUGCACUCUUUUUUUUCUUAUAAGAUUUUAUCCCACUGAGUUUUCCUUGCAAGGUUUUUAAUGAGGCAACCAAAAUGUGUAUUAUUAGAUAUGUGUACUAUUUUUCCUUUUCUAGAUUUUUUUCAUUGGAUUUUAUUUUAGUUAAGGUUUUAACGAGGCACAUUAUCUGUUAAAUAGACAUUCAAGGAAAAAUAUUAUAAAUAAAAUUCUAUUUUAGGUGAAUAUUCUAUUCUAUUAUAAAUCAUGUCAAAAAGCAAUAAGAAUUCUUUAUCUACUUUCCUAUGCAAUACUUUCUUCUUUUAUUAUUUCAUAACACAAAAGAUAUUUUAAAAAGUUAAUCGAAAAAGCAUUUUCAAAAGUACAAAACGCCACGUAAAGUAUGCACGAGGGCUGGACAAAUAAGAGUCCAACACGAUAACACCUAAUCAGUAAAGUAUCUUCCUUUGUUGGCAGACAAAACAAAGAAAAAGGACACAUACAAAAGAAAGAACUCUCUGCCAUUAUUCAUUCACCUCAUCUUUCCUCUCUCUUGCGGCCAUCUUAAUCUCUUACGUGGUUAAUUUCUAAAACCCCUUUUGUUCUUAUCUCUCUUUUUGUAUUUUAUUUUAUGAUUUGUAUUAAUAUUUAGUAUUACAAUUCUUUUUGCUGAGUUUGUGGAUCUGUUGGAUUACUUCAAGAAUUGGGUAAUAUUUCGUAUUUCAAUUCCUCAAUUCUUUUUGCUGAGUUUGCGGAUCUGUUGGAUUACUUCAAGAAUUGGGUAAUAUUUCGUAUUUCAAUUCCUUUUAAUUUCCUGGGUUUUUGCUUUUAUGUACUGUGGGUACGAAACUUUGCUUUGAUUCGGAGCUAGGUUUUAUAAUUCUGAACCAAAAACCAUGUUUCUCAUUUUUGGUUCUGUACUAAACCAGAAGCUUAGCUGGCGAAACUCAGAGGGUUACAGUUAGAAUAUUGAAAAUUGUUGUGACAUGAAUUGCAUAAGCAGAAUUUUUUUAUUCCUGUUUCAGUUUCAAGUUUAGGAGUUAAUCAUGUUUUAACUGGCUUUAAGUAUUUUUGAGUAUCUUGCUCAGUGUUAUCAAAGGUGAAAAGCUCUUACAAAACGCUCUUGAGCUCUAUUGGGGCUUUAAGCACGAAGCACAGUUUAUAUUUGUUGUUUAGUACUGGUUGAUCUCGUGUCGCAAGCCUUAGUGCCUUGCCUAUGCUGACAACAUUGAUCUUGCUUAUGUUACUUGAAUAGAGAGAAAAUGGACAUAUACGGGAAAUGGAGAUAAAUGAUUCAUAUAGUCGGCUCCAACUGAUUUUGGAUCAAGGCUUAGUUGGUUGAUUGAUUUGCUUAUAUAACUUGCAAUCUGUUUUACAUUCGUACUUACGUAUUUUUGAUUUUGCUGAAUAUCGCUUUGCUUAUUGCAUCUGAUGAACAUGUGUAUGUUCUUCAUCUCGUUUUUUUCCCCUUCAAAGAGGGAUCUUAUAUGCACUUGCUUGUUUACAAUGUGGGCAUUUUCCCCUUGUUACUUGCUUAGAAAAAUAGUCUUCUUCAGCCGAGGCAGAUCUGGUAUUUAAACUCUAUGGGUUUAAUCUUUAUUAGCAUUGAAUGUAUUAAAAGUUGUGGGUUCAUAUCGACUAUUUCUUAUAAACAUAAAUUUCUCUAUGCCGAAAGUACUGGAUUCAGAUGAACCCGAAUACAAUAUGUUGCAUUGCCUCUAUUGUUCAGUCUAUAACUUCGCUGCAUAAACUAGAUGGUUUAUAGCGAGCGGAAGCAAAGAAUAUGCUUUCUUUUCCCUAUUAUAUUUUUCUCAGGAGAGGCAGGUUUAGGAGGUUUCUUAGCAUUAGUGUUGUUAUCUUUAAUGAGUUUUUUCGCAGGAGUGUCGACAAUAUGGAGCAUGAUGAGACGGGAUGCCAACCCCCUCCUGAAGGCCCUAUUUUGUGCGUUAACAACUGUGGCUUCUUUGGAAGUGCUGCAAACAUGAACAUGUGCUCUAAGUGUUACAGGGACACGGUAUUGAAACAAGAACAAGCUAAGUUAGCUGCAUCAUCAAUUGAAAACCUUGUCAAUGGAUCAACCCCCAGUGAGAAGGGGGAAACGAUUGUCGUUGGCUCUGUCGAUGUGCAAUCUGAUUCUGUGGAAGCAAAGGCUGUAACUUUGCCAUCAUCUCCAACCUCAAGCUCCAGUGUCGUUGCUGAAGUAAAGGCUAAGGAGGGUCCUAACCGCUGCGGCACUUGUAAAAAAAGGGUUGGCUUCACUGGAUUCAAGUGUCGCUGCGGUCACCUGUAUUGUGGAGCACACCGUUACUCGAAUAAACAUGACUGCCAGUUUGAUUACCGCUCUGCUGCCCAAGAUGCAAUAGCAAAGGCCAAUCCUGUUGUGAAGGCAGAAAAGCUUGACAAAAUCUAGAAGGGGUAUUGUGCUUAAAUUUGGUGAUUUCAUUUGGUUUUCCUCUGACGGCAACAUAUAAUAUGAGAUGUUAUUAAACCUCAGGGGCAAAGAAGAUUAAAAGAUAUUGCAGCUUGAAGAAUUAUUAGGAGAAUUUGUGUGUUGGCUACAGUUUCAUGCCUUCCUUUGUGCUGGGUUGAUAUCCACUUUGAUUAUAUCUGUUAUGUGUUGUUCUGAUUCACCUGGUAUUCUAUCCAAUAUUACAUGUCUAAAUGGUAUGUGUGAAUCUAGAUAAUAUGGAAAAUGUCCGUUCACAUGGUUGUGCUUUGGCAUUGUAAAUUUCGCCUCAUGAUCUCUUGUAUGUUUUCAUCCAAUGUUUCAGAUAUCAUCUUCAGUUCAUUUUGCUUUCUAGCUAUGUCUCACCUGUCUUUGCUACUAUUUGGGAGCUUAAACCUGACUAUAUCAUAUUCUCCGUGAGUGCAUAUUGGCCACGAGUUACCUUUUUAUGGUUAAUAAUACGUUUUGCUCUGUUAUUCAAUAAUGCUUGAUACUGAUCAGCUGCCACAAGGGGAGCUUUGGCGUAGCCGGUAAAGUUGCCUCCAUAUGACCAGGAGGUCAAGGGUUCGAGCCGUUGAAAUAGUCUCUUGCAGAAAUGCAGGGUAAGACUGUCUAUAAUAGACCCUUGUGGUCCGGCCCUUCCCCGGAUCCCGCCCAUAGUUGAAGCUUAGUGAGCCAGGCUGACCAUGAUCUGCUGUCAGUUGUAUUUUCCUGAAUAUUGUUGAGAAUCUUAUGCUCUUUAUCAUCUUUACCAACAACUUGUUCCCGAGCAAAGGAGGGAUCAUUAGCCAAAGGUAAGUAGCUUCUUUCUUUAGACGUCGAUAUAGAGUCAAACAGUACAUUAGGAAGAUUAGUUGGUAGGUCUUAUAUAUAUAUAUAUAUAUGAGAAAUACCCCGUGGGCUUUUGGCCGACUCUAGUUGAUGGACAGGUUUUGAAACCCCACCGAGCUAUGAGCCCGUCCCACUACAUUCCUCUCAACUUAAAUACCAACCUUUGUUUGCAGCAGGGUUCGAAUGCAUGACGUGCCCCUAACGCAUGCAUCAUUCUUAUUUACUUGGUAUUUAUCAAAUAUUAUAUGCCUAAGUGUUAUGUGCAAAUCUAUAUCGCAUUGAAAAACAUCAAUUGACAUGCUUAUUCUGUAAAUUUCGCUUCAUGAUCUCUUGUACUGCAUGUCUAAAUAUGUCGCACCUGUGCUUGCAGUGAACUUUUGGCUUUUAUAUCAAUUUUGAACAGAAGUUUUAUUGUUUGGGAGUUUGAAGUUUACUCUAUCAAAUUUUGUGUGAGUGCAUAUGUUGUGAACUAGUCUUGUGUCUACUAAGUUUGCAUUUUAAUUGGUAGAAGUUUUGGGUUGUGGGUGAAAUUUAGAGCAAGGGAUUGAUUAUAUGAAAGUUAGAACCUGCAGCAGUUGAUAAAACUAAGUAUUUUCAUACCUUUUAUUUGGCAAAAUGGCUUCCUGGCAACUCAAACUUGUGCCGGAUUUUAAAGCCGAUACAUAAACUAUGUUUUCUCCAUUUAAACACUUUAACUUUUGAAAUAUAGAACUAAUAAAUAUAUUUGACUAUUGACCCAUCCCAUGUGGCGUAAGUUGGUCCUAGUCAGUCUCUGCGUGAAUAUCACGACUUUUAGGAGCGUGAGAGACCCCUUCCCAACGUCCAACGGUAAAAAAUAGGAGCAAUUUAAGUGGGGUCUUCUUCUUUCAAUUAGAAAAAGAAGAAGAUGAAAACGACAUCAAAAGAAACAAACUAACUUUUACAUAGUAACGUGACUGAAAUCGAGAGCUCAGACGGAACUCGAACAACUUAUGAUUAAAAUAUGGGGGACCUAAAUCGUUUGGUUUUGGAGUGAUUAAGAUUACUUUGGAAGAAGGGAACCAAGUUAAUCGACCAUCGUUUAACCUAGGUUUAAGAGGAGAGGGUUGGUUAGAGAUAGAAAAAGAGACGAAAAGUGGGGGAGGGUUUGUCGGUGUAUAGCUUAAAAGAGGGGGACCUUAAUGUAUUGGAUUUAAUUUCGCGCUAAUGACGUGUACCAGUUUCAUUGGUCAUUUGCUGACUGGAUGGACACGUAGGCGAAUGUGCAAUACAUGUGCAUAUGAGUAAGGAUAAAAUGUAUUUAUUAGUUCGUGGUUUCAUGAGUUUAAGUAUUUAAAUGGAAAAGACAGAGGUUUAUAUAUCGACUUUAAAAUUAGGCGCAAGUUUAAGUGGCUAGGAAGCCAUUUCGCCCUUUUACUUUAGUGAUUAAUAACCCAAAACUAACAUGGUCAACAUAAUACUCAUAGAAUUGCACGGAACGCACUUAUACUCAUUUUUUUUAAAAACUUUUAACUUGUAUUCACUUUUUAAAUAACUUCAGCCCCCUUUCUCCUCCUCCUUCAUUUUCUUCUUCUUCUUUCUUUUGCUGCUGUUGGUGCUGCUAUGGAAAAUUUCAGUUCAUAGGAUGAUUGUCAUUAUCAGUUUAUUUAAAAAUAAAUUAUAAAUAAUUACGUAAGGUAGUAGAAAAUAAUUUAUGAAUACUUUCACGUACAUAAGUUAUUAGACAAUAAUAAUUCUGUUCUUUUCACGUUUAUUGUUUCCAAAAUUUAUGAUUUCGAUACUGUUGGCAAUCUGAUUAUUUAUCUAGUAUGUUAGAAAGCUUUUUUAAAACUUUCAACUAUAGAGCCGAAGUUCGCCAGUUACAAAACAAAAACUUCAGCUCUAGAGCCGAAGUUCGCCAGUUACAAAAACAAAAACUUCAGCUUCAGAGUCGAAGUUCGCCAGUUACAAAAUAAAAACUUCACCUCUGGAGCUGAUGUUCGCCAGUUACAAAACAAAAACUUCAGCUCUAAAGUUGAAGUUCGUCAGAUACAAAAAUAAAAUUUUCAGUAAUUACAAAUAAAAACUUCAGCAAAUAGAGAAUAAAACUUCAGCUACUAUACUUAAGUUAAGCAAUUACAAACAAAUAUUUCAGCACACUUGGUUCAACACACUUGCUACUUUAGGUCUUUCUACUAGAAUGUUGAAGUUUUGCGUGAUUGCCUUUGCUACUUCAGCCCCGUAUGCUGAAGUUAUGCGAAAAAGCGGGUACACUUGUAAUUUUUUUUGCAAAGCGGGUACAAGUUAAAACGUAACAGAAAAAGCAGGUAUAGAUACAAAUGCUUCCAUAAUACUUUCACAGACUUGAGCCCGUUUGGACAUAAGAAUUUUUUUCCUUACCUUUUCAAAAAAAUUCACCUUUUCCGAAAUUAACGCUUGUGCAUAAAAUUUUAAUUUUACUUGAAGAUGCAUUUUGAAAUUUUUUAAAAACUUCAAAAAUUCCAAAAAUUCGUUUUUCAAAAUUCACUCAAACCACGCACAAAAUUUCAAAAAUAACUCAAAAUUAUAUUUAUGUCCAAAUACAAUUCAAAAUUUUAAAUACCAUUUUCUUUAAUUUUUUUUACCCUUUUUUUGAAACUUUACAAUCCCUAUGUCCAAACGUCCACUUAUUGUCUACUUCAAAUUCAAGUAAUAUUUUUCCAAUUUCAACCACAAAUGUUGUCGAAAUGAAUCCACAAGUUAAUUAACAUAAUUUUCAGGUGACAAUAAUUAAGCACAAUUUGAACGAAACCAGAAUUUAAGCUAAGUAAUUCUUGAAUUUGGAGUAGAAUUUUGAUGUACUUUGUCUAUGACUUCUUCAAAUCACUCUACUCUUAAUCUUUGAGAAGCUAAUUGGAUUGCUACUCUGGAAUCCUUAAGAGUCAAGUCGCAGGUCCUCUAAACAAAAUAAAAAAUUCCCUUGGAAUAUGUGAUGUUAGGAUAGGUAACGCUUGGGAUUUCUCAAAUAUAUCCCUAGCCAUACCAAAACACACUCUGGAUAACAUUCACUCUACUUUCAUCUCUAAUAAGUGCCUGACUGAUGGCUUAUCAUGAGAUAUGAACUUAAGCGGGAUCUUCACGACCAAAUCUUGUUAUGGUCUAAUAGAAAGGACUACAAACCACCCAAUAAAUAAUAAUUGGGUCUGGGACCUCCAAUUCCCUAACAAAAUUAAAUAUUUUAUGUGGCUUUGCAACCUCAAUAGACUUUCUUGUAGGAGAUUCCUUUUCUUUAUAGGCAUGAAUAUAGACGACCAAUGCAUCAUUUGUCGCCGUGGUACUGAAUAUCUUAGCCACAUUUUUAUUACAUGCCCUAACGCUAGUAACAUUUGGCAAAGCAUAAGAAUUGAUACUGGCGGUUUUUGACCCCUUAAGUAACAAUUGGUUAACCAAGCUAAAAUCUAGCAACCCCAUUAUCCCCUCUAAAUUCAUCAAUUGGAAUACUCUCUUUCCUUUUGUUAUGUGGAAUAUAUGGAUCACUAGAAACACCAAUAAUAUUAAUAACACUUGUCUUACCAGUCACCUAGGAAAAAUUAUAGACCAGGCUAUUGAGUAUUCUCUCAUAACUAAUAGAGAAUCAAACUGGGAAAAGGAUAUUACGCUCUAUAUAUCUUGGGUAAAACCUCUUACUAGUUGGUACAAGCUAAAUAUAGUCGAGGCUUUCAAUUUCUCAUGUAAAACAGGUAGCAUUGGAGGGGUAAUAAGAAAUGAUCAUGGUGAUUGGCUAAUAGGAUUUGGCUUAAACUUUUCCGCCAAAAGCCCGAUACACUCAGCGCUUAUGGCCCUAUUCAAAGGAUUAACCAUAGCAAAUGAUAGGAACUUGUCCCCACUAAUAAUAGAGACGGGUGCAUCUCAAGUAAUAUCCUUCAUCCAUGAAGGCUGUAAAACUUACAACUCUAUCAUUAAUGGUUGCAGGUCACUUCUGGAUCAAAUGGACAUCGUGGAAAUCCAACACACAUUCAGGCAGGGGAAUGAAGUUGAUCUCUUGUUGGAUAAGCACACAGUGGAGAACCUAGUGAUAAAUAAAUUACAAUUCUGGUUAUUUCCACCACCCUUUGUCUUGGCCAGGAUGCUGGCAGAUAAAGGAGGGUAAAAAUCUGUAAAAACUAUUUCUCUUAAGUAUUGUAGUACUCUAGCUUCUAUUGGUAACUUACAUGCCAUGCAUGUGUUACCCAAUGGUAAUGAUCCUUAUGAUCAUACCCCCUUUUGUAAUGUUUAAAUGUUCUAGUAAUGAAUAAACGUCAUCUCUGCUAAAAUAAAACAGUAACAAAUAUCAUUUAACUGGAUAAGAUGUGGUGCAUGCCAAUUCGUAUCACGUAUACAAUGUCAAAAUCAAAUGAAGUACUGGAACAUUUUGUAAUUACCUCCAUUUUAUUUUGUAUUAGACUCUAUUUUAGUGUGUUUUGAAAAGAACGAUCCAUUUUAUAUUUAAAUACUUUUUAAUUUUAAUAUUGAUAUUUAACUAUAGAGCCUGUUUGGAAAGCCUCCAAAGAAUUAGAUUCGUGUGUAAGUAGGCAUAAUUACACAAUUUGAUAUGUUUAGCUGAACAAGUAAUUAUUUGGUAAGCAUGAAAUUAGAUAUAAUUGAGGAAGAAUAAUUAUACUCUUCAAUACUCAAAGGGAUGAUGAGAAUUGGUGGUAAUUACAUUGGGUAAUUAGAAGAUAUUAUAACUUCUAAUUCUCUUUUAUUUUUAUUUUUUCAAAUGCCUUAUAUACUCUCCUUUUUACAUAAUUUCUCUGUAACGACCCGACCGUUCGUUUUAAGCUUUUGUACUUUGAUCGCCAUUUAUCGGGCUUGACUUGCCCCGUGUAAUGCGUUAUGACUGAUGUAGAUUGUUGGUUUUGGUUUUCAUGGAACAACAACAACAACAACAAUAACUAUCCAGUAUAGUCCCACGAGGUGGGGUCUGGGGAGGGUAAUAGGUGCACAGACCUUACCCCUACCCGAAAGGGCAGAGAGGCUAUUUUCAAUUGACCCUCGGCUCAGGAAGGAAAGGAAAAACAAAAUCAAAAACAAAAACAAAAACAAAAGGGCAUUACUGUCUCCAGCAGAAAUCACAUAAAUAAUUAACUAAACAUAAUUAUCUAAAUAUAAUUUCCUAAACAUGAAAGUAUAAAUAAGGUGACAUGCAAUAAUAUCGAACAGUAAGUACCAUAAGGGCAUAAUUCAACACACAAAUCCACUAUGGAUAGCCCUAUCAAACCCCACCCAGCCCUGGAGAAAAGUACGGAGAAUUUCUAGAAGCCCUUAUCCUACAACCCUGAUAAUAGACCUCCAGACUUUCCUAUCAAGGGCCAUGUACUCGGAAAUCCGCAAUCUAGCCAUGUCUUACCUAAUCAGCUCUCCCCAAUACCUCUUGGGCCUCCCUCUGCCUCGACUCGCGCCGACCACCGCCAGUCGCUCACAACUCCUCACCGGUAAAUCAGGGCUUCUCCUCCGCAAUCUCAUCCAAUGGGGCCACCCCCACCUUCUCCCGAAUAACUUCAUUCUUAAUCUUAUCUAACCUGGUGAGCCUGCACAUCCACCUGAGAAUCCUCAUCUCCACAACCUUCAUUCUCUGAACAUGAGAAUUCUUCACCGGCCAGCAUUCCACCCCAUACAACAUGGCAGGUCUAACCACAACUCUAUAAAACUUCCCAUUAAGUUUUUGUGGCAUUUUCUUGUCACACAAGACUCCGGAUGCAAGCCUCCACUUCGACCACCCUGCCCCUAUACGGUGAGUGACAUCCCUGUCGAUCUCUCCAUCCCCCUGAAUCACCGACCCAAGAUAUCUGAAACGGUCCCUCUUGGCAAUGACCUUAGAUCCAAGCUUCACGUCCAUGCCUACUUCGCUCGACCCGACGCUAAUUUUGCACUCCAGGUAUUCUGUCUUAGACGUGCUUAGUUUGAAACCCUUAGACUCGAGAGUCUGUCUCCACACCUCCAGCCUCUCGUUAACACCGACCCUCGUCUCGUCUAUCAAGACUAUAUCAUCAGCAAAUAGCAUAUACCAAGGCACAUCCCCUUGAAUAUGACGAGUUAGAGCAUCCAUAGCCAAGGCAAACAGGAGAUGACUAAGCGCAGAUCCUUGAUGAAGCCCCAUCACCAUUGGGAAAUGGUCUGAGUCGCCAACCACCAUCCUAACCCUAGUCUUUUCUCCAUCAUACAUGUCCUUGAUUACUCUGAUGUAAGCUUCCGGCGCGCUCUUCGCCUCUAGGCACAUCCAUAGCACCUUCCUUGGGACCUUGUCAUACGCCUUCUCUAAGUUGAUAAACACCAUGUGCAAGUCUUUCUUCUUAUCCCUGAACUGCUCCACUAAUCUCCUGACAAGGUGGAUAGCUUAUGUAAUGGAGCGACCCAGCAUGAAACCGAACUUGUUCUCGGAUAUAUAUGUCAUCUACCUCACCCUCGACUUGACCACUCGCUCCCAGAUCUUCAUGACACAGUAUAAAGAACAAAGUAAGAGACUCCAAGAAAGCAAACUAUACCAUAGAUACGAAAGUUUCCCUACAAAAGGGGAUGGCAUCAACAACCCAUAAGGGACGGCUUGCCAAUCUACACAAACAGUUAAUUUGUUUAUAGUCGCAAAAGUAUUCCUACAAAAUGGGCUGGCUUCAACAACCCAUAAGGGACGGCUUUCCAAGCUACACAACUUAGAAAAUUUUUGUACUAUAACAAACGUUUGCUGUUUAUAACUCAGAAAACUUUUGCACCACAAUAAGCUAACUUUAACAGAGUAUUCUUACUCUAUUUUCAUACAUGGACCGGCCUUUACAUCCAUUCUAAAGAAAGAACAAGAGAGGAAUUUAGAAAGCACUCAUAUGUAAUAUAUCACAAAGAUUUACAAAGGUUGCAAGAUGAUCCUACCAUUACUACAAGGCCUCCUUUAUAUAGGGCUAGGAGGUUAUUACAAGACNNNNNNNNNNNNNNNNNNNNNNNNNNNNNNNNNNNNNNNNNNNNNNNNNNNNNNNNNNNNNNNNNNNNNNNNNNNNNNNNNNNNNNNNNNNNNNNNNNNNNNNNNNNNNNNNNNNNNNNNNNNNNNNNNNNNNNNNNNNNNNNNNNNNNNNNNNNNNNNNNNNNNNNNNNNNNNNNNNNNNNNNNNNGGUUAUUACAAGACAAACUUUCAAGAUAAAAUAAACCUAUCUUACAUGGCAAACUUAUCUACAUGUGGGUCCUUCUUGGCAUGUGAAGGACUUUAGACAAACCAACAAAAAAAUACAUGAAACCAUGUAAAAAGUGGUGACAUAUACAUGGUGUAGCAUGUGAAAGUAUAAGGUAGCAUGUGACGCCAUAUGAACAUAUUAUGUUGCAUGUGACGAAGCAUGUGGAGGCAUGUGGAAGCAUGUGAAAACAAGUGAAUGUGGGGCCCGAAUGGUAUGGAAAGAUGUGGGAAUUUAUCUUGGCAUGAGUAGGAUAUAUUUUAGGGUUAUUUGGUAUGUAAUAUAGGAUUAUGGUGGGAUUAUCAGGGAUUUGGAUAAUUAAUUCUAGGGUUGUCUUCUAGGAAUCUUUUCAAAGACCUUGAGUAGUAAUGCCUUGAACUGGAUGGUCCUUCUCUGCUGUGUUCUUUCUCCUUUGUAUUGGGAGAUGUAAUCCGCAACUUUAAUCUGGAAAUGUCAUGAGUGCUCUUUUUUCAGAUGACUUCAUAUGGAGUUUGAUAUUCUUUUGCUGCUUCCCGGACUCUUUCCCAAUUAGGAUGAGUGUUGGUGUAAUUCCAUCUUGCCCAAUCUUUUGGCUAUAUAUCUUUCGGGAUACACCUAUUUUGCUGAAAAAGGAUUUUUGUGCCUCGCUAUAUUCUUCCUCCAUUGAUAAAAUGGAUACGGGAAAUUUCCACUGGAAUGAUGAUUCUGCUUGUGCCUGGACUUUUCCAUUGAUGAUUUUUACCGGCCUAUAGAACAUGAAUACCUUUGCUGUGUAGGAAUCGCUGAAGCAUUUUAUCCAAUAUCUUCUAGGCUUGAACCAUAACAAAAAUACUUUAAGGGCUGGUGCAAUGGUAUCAAAAUCCUUGAAGACGUUACAUUUGAAUUCCAUGAAAAUAUAAUAUUGAUGGCAUAUGUACCAAAAAAAAAUCAUAAUAAUUCUUAUGGAAAAUCCUUAGCUUGAGCGAUGAAUAUGUAGUAGAACGGAUAUUCUGGAUUGACCCCAUAAGGGUUAAGAAUAGAUUCUCCAUAUUGCCGGAAAACUUGGAGUUCGUAAUAAGUUCUUCUUUCCAUAAUAUUUGACGGAUCAAAGGGAUCCAUGAGAUUGAAUAACUCUGGUGGGUGAUCCGUUGGCUUUAGUGAACUUGUUCCUGAUGCAUCUGUAAACAUGAAGAUGUGGCUGAUUAGCUUCUGCUUUGUCUUCAAUUUUGCGGGUGAAAAUCUCUUUGAAAAUUCUUCUGGCUGAGAUAGAAAAUCUGCGAGAAUAUAAUCCUUUCCUUUCAUGUGCUUGACUUGAAAUUUGUAUGGAGAAAACCAUUGAGCCCAUUUGAGAAUCUAAGGAUUGGGAAUAAUUUUUGAAUUUAUCUGGAUCAUCUUUGGGAAGGCCUUGAUAUCCAUUUCUAAUAGAAAUUCUGUAUGGAUCAGGAAGAAAUUGAAUUUCUUGAUUCCAUUUUACUGCAAGAAUUUCCUUGAAAGUGGAGUGAUAAUGCUUCUCGGCAGCUUUGAACUUUCCACUGGUGUAUCCGCAUAUUUUCCUCUGGCCAUCUUUCUCUUCAAAUAAAACAGCACACCAAUAUUCAUGGCUGGCAUCAGUUUGCAAUAUAUUUUUUCCAUCUGAUGGGAUAUAGAGAGACUUGACACUUUUUGAUAUUUCCUUUAUUUUGCUGACUGCCGCAUCCUGUUCCUCUCCCCAUGCAGGAGCAUUUUCCUUGAGCAUUUCUGAGAGUGGUGAAUUGUAUGUAGAGAUAUUUGGGAUGGAAUCUCUUACAUAAUUUGUUACACCCAAGAACUGUUGGAUCUGCUUUAUUGUGAGAUUGGUAUCCAGAAAUUUGAGCAAUUCCUAACAUAUAUAUGGUCCUGGACUGUAUUCUUCUUGGGAAAAAUGCAUUCCGAGAAAAUCAAUCUCCUUUUGAGCAAGAACCAUCUUUUUUUCAGAAAGCAUGAUCCCGUACUGUGUUACUAAUGCCUUAAAUUGACGAAGCAAGUUGACAUGUUCUUCGACUGUAUCACUAACAGGAUGUCAUCAAUGUAGACUAAGGAUAUAUGGGAGAAGGGUUGGAAGAUUUUUAUCAUGGCUUUUUGGAACAAAGAGGGUGCAGUAUUCAACCCGAAGGGCAUGACUUUCCAUUAGAAGUGAUGGUCAGGGAUGCAAAAUCCCGUUUUGGGUCUUUCUUCAGGGUGGAUUCCUAAUUGCCAAAAUCCAUAUUUUAAAUCAAACUUGAAAAAAUAUUUAGCCUUGGAUAAGUGGGAGAAAAGGUAAGUUUAUUAGGGAUAGGGAAUUUAUCAUCUUGGAGGAAAUGGUUAAGUGGUUGGUAAUUGAUGACUAACCUGGGGAUAGGGAAUUUAUCAUCUUGGAGGAAAUGGUUAAGUGGCUGGUAAUUGAUGACUAACCUGAGUUUCCCUCUUGUCUGUUCAACUCUUUUGUUGACAUAAAAUGUUUCGCAUGCCCAUUGUGAGUCUGAUGCACUACUAAAAAAACUAGGGUUUAGCGACGGAAAAAAUCUGAAGCUAAAUAUAAAAAUCCGUCACUAGUCUCAUUUAGCGAUAAAUAAUCAAAAGAUUCUACUAGCAACGAGCAUUUUAGCGACAAAUUAGCAAUGACGUUCGUAGCUAAUUCCAGUUUUUUUUUUGUAGCGAUGGCUCUAUCAUAUCAAAUUCUAAAAGUUCUUCACAUUCUUUCUUUGCAAGCUGGAGAUGAUCUGCAUUCAUCCCUGAAUGUCUGGCCUUUGUUGGAUUGACAUUUUCAUUCUUCUUGAAAGGGAGCUUGAUAAAAAAACUCUUCGUUUUUCCAUAACGGGCGUUUCCCUUUCUUCAUGAAAUCCUUGUGGGAUUCAACACAUGAAUGUUCAAUGAGAUCGUUUUUCCAUAACGGGCGUUUCCCUUUCUUCAUGAAAUCCUUGCGGGAUUCGGCACAUGAAUGUUCAAUGAUAGUUUACUCAAUAUCUUUGAUUUGUUCAUCACUGUUGAUUUGGAAUAGCUUUGGAAUCUCAGAAUAAGGUCUGAACUAGUUUUUAAAAGCUAUCCCAUUAGCCCUGAUAUGGAGUUGAUCUCUAAGUUGUCUGUAAAUGUCAAACCUAAUAAUAAGAUCCUUUCCUGGUACAUCAGAUCCUAGAAGCUUUGUUCUGUACUUCAAUCCUGGAAAUAACUCAACUGUGACCGGGUGCUUUGUAACGACAGUUGUGGCCAAGAUUGCAUUUGAUGCAGUGUUGAAAUCCUUAUAAUGCGGCACCCAUUUAUCUUCAGGGAGAACAACAGGAUUAUGAGUGAAGAAGCAGCUCCAAUAUCUAUGAAAGCAAUAACUCGAGUUUGUUUAUCCCAUUUGGAUGAAUAGACCUUGAGUUAUACUUGAGGAACGACUGCGAGAGCAUUGAUCUCCUCUCAGGCCUCGAUCACUGGUUCUGAAAUUUGGUAUUACUCAUUGCCUUGAUUUUUAUAGAUAUCAAGAGAGAAUAAAGUUUCUUUACUAGGUUCAUCAUCUACAAAGAAUAUGGAUUCAAGGUCCUCAUCCUUUCCAAGAUGUAUGCUAGUGUAAUCUUCGAUUUCUUCAAGGAGUUUGACAGAUCUUCUUUAUUAUGGAUAAUUUUUUUGCAAAGUGUCCAAUCUUAGGCAAAUAAAGCAUCUGUUCUUCUUGUAAAAAUUUCCUGGCCUUCUGUGCCUGAAAUACUUUGUGCGUCUCUUGGACCUUGAUUUUCCGUUUGGAAUUCUUGGCCAUCUAACCUCCUGAAUUCUCUCCCUCGUCUGGAUGUGCGGAAGGAACAUCCUGAUCCCGUGAUUAGAUCAGAUUUGUGGCAGGCUUUGUCAAGCGCUGGAUUAUGAUGGAUCAUUUGCUUUAGGGCUGAGCGCUUUGUACAUAUAUCAUCCAAUGCAACAAAAAUAGCUUGCCUGAUGUAACCAAUUUGUGGGAUAUUUAUGGACUGAAACUUUUCUUCAAUGAUGGUCAUGGUUCGGCUUGCCAACAUCUUUGGAAGAGAAGAGACAAAGGCUUGCUUCAGAUUAAUGUCUCCGCCAAUUUCAAAGUAUAUCUUCGCCAUUUUUUGGAAAUGUAUGUCAAUGUCGUUUUUGUCGAAUGACACACACUUCAUUUCAAAGAGAUUCCUUCGCAUUUUCUUCUUUCUUUGGCAAGUAUCUCCAUAGAAAACUUCAUGUAGGAUCAUGAUAUUAAAGGCAAAAUCUUGGGAAGUAAGAAAACUAUUUUUGUCUUGAAUUGCAAGUGAGUUCCACCUCUCUCUGAGAAUUCCUGAGAACCACGAAGUAAGUUCUGACAGGAUGAUAUACUUUUCUCGUUCCACCAAAUGAUUGGUCACCAUCCAAGUGUAGAAGUCUUGGAUCCUUUGAGGCCAUUUUGAAACCUUGAUGUCAUCUAAGGUGAAAGCGUGGAAGCCAGUUCAAACUGGUUUUGACGCUAUGGGCUCAUAUAUUCUUUCUGGGAUUGGCUCAUCUGUAAUCCCUUCUUGUUCCUCAUCUACUUCUAAUGCUUCUAGGUCUCUUAGAUUGUUCACAAAUAUUGGGGGAUUUUCUUCUUCGGAAGAGUUCGUCAUGGAUUCAUUGCUUGACUGAGAGCUAUCUUCUGUUGAUUCAUCAUCUGAUGAAUUCAUAGAUUCUGACCAUGGAGUAUCUUCUUCUGGUAUGUAUCUUGGCUAAGACACAUAGAGUUUUGGAGCCUUCUGGUAAGAAAUCAUCAAAUUUUCAGGGUUGGAUCCAUGGAGUAUCUUUUUCUAGUAUGCAUCUUGGCUGAGAUGCAUAGAGAUCUGGAGCCUUCAAGUCAGAAAUCAUCAAAUUUUCAGGGUUGGACCCUUUUGAAAUUUCUCCUUGGUCUCGCCUUUUCUUUAUUUGUUUUUGUGCUGCAAGGGCAUCUUUCCUUUCCCAAACCAUUUUUGCGAUAUCAAAAUCAUNNNNNNNNNNNNNNNNNNNNNNNNNNNNNNNNNNNNNNNNNNNNNNNNNNNNNNNNNNNNNNNNNNNNNNNNNNNNNNNNNNNNNNNNNNNNNNNNNNNNNNNNNNNNNNNNNNNNNNNNNNNNNNCAGAAAAGGUGUAGUCUAAUUUAGGUGGGGAAUAUGCUUGUGGAGACAUGGGGAAGAAGGUAGGUUUUGAGGAGUAGACUGGGGUUUUUUGUGGCUCAAAGUGUUCAUUUAUCAGGAGUUGAAUUUUUUCUUUGAUGGAAAUCGUUUCCUUUUGUUGUUGUUGGAAGACUUGGAAAAGUGAAGUUCCUGGCGAACAAAUCUCGUAUUGUAAAUUUUUCAAUCUUAGUUCCAAGACAUUGAUUAGUCCGUCAUGGUGAGAUGAUGUAUGCUACAUCUUUUUCUCAAUUGUUUCAAUCUUGCUCAUCAUUUUAUUUUGUGUAUGGGCCACAUUCUUUAUAGUGUUGCCAAUGUUGUUCAGCACCUUGUUUUGGCAGAUGGAGUUUUCUGAUUGCCAGUUCAUUGUUGCCUCGAUGUCACUUGUUGGGGGUUUUUCUCCAGUAGGUCGCACUGUGUUUUUCUUGGGAAUUUUUGGAGCAUGGCUUAUACCCUCUUUUUCAAAAGGUUGAAGUGAUGGAAAGUCUAGGGUAUGACUGGAGCUUGAAGGACUUAGCAUGAAUAUAUGUGGUUGUGUGGGAUUUGUGUUCUUUUGAGUUGGUGAUGUUUUAGGUUCAGGUGGCUUUUUGGAUUCUGGGGUAUGGACUGAUGAUGAUGGUGAUUUGGGUAUGGUUUCACUAUCCUCCCAACUUGAAAUGAAUUUUUCUAUUAAUUUUGGCCAUUCCUGGGGUUUGUUACUGACAAGAAAUUCAUAUUUACCUGGACAGCUUAAUGAACCAAUAGAAGGAUCUUUAUUUUCAUAUUUGGCUCGAAAUUGUUUUUUUUCAGUUUUCCUUUUAUCCUUGGAUUUUGGUUUGGUUUGAUUGAGGCCUACCCUUUCAUCAUAUUCUCUAAUUGGAUCUUCCAAACAGUCCUGAUAAUUGUAAUCGAGAUCCCAAGGUAGUGUCCCGUAAAAGGGGCAUUUGAACCACAAAGUUCUUUUUCCUUCUUUGUCAAAAUUUUGACACCAAUCAUGUUGUUUCAUGAUGCUUUGUAUAUUACAAAAGAACUCUCCAUCCGGUUCAGGAUAUGUAUCUGUUGUACUUUUGGGUUGAAUCAUUUGGCAAGAGAAGAUGGUUUUAUUUGAUUUUUUGAGAUGGGAAUGGUCAAAGCUUAUGCAAAAAGUAUUGUCAUCUCUUUUGGUAAAAGUUGGUUCACCAGAUUGCAGAGAUUCCUCCGAUUCUCUUAGUUUUUUAAUAAUUUGAGAUCCAGCAAUCAUGAAGAAUUUUUACAAGUUUAUCUCUGGAAAUUUGUCUGGGUAUUUGGGUGCACAUGGAUUUUCCUUUGGUAGCAUCUAUGUUUAAGAGUAAAGCGUUUUAUCCUCCGGGAAGGCAAAGAUCCAUGGCGUGAUUUUGAACUCGCCAUGCCAUUUGGUGGUAAAUGGUAGCUUGGAUGGAAUCUUUGGCUUGUGGGGCUCCCUGGAUUUGGACUUGGAUUUUUAAGGCUUCGGUUAGGUACGAGUCAUAAAGGGACAUGUUGAAAUUUGGAAAGAUGGUAAUGAAGACAGUUGCAACAUUUAGGGUAACUUCUACAGUACCCAAAUUUGCAAGUUGGUACUCCAAGUAUCUUAUAUCUAGAAGAGAAAGUUGGGAUACAACAGGUUCACCAUUUCUGCUGUGAUAUGUUAAAGCGAUUCGGAUAGCACCAAAAUGGAUAUGGGUAAAACCGUGAUCUCUCCAUUGUCUGGGAAAGUCAUCUGGAAUUUGAAGGGUGAUAAAUUGUUUCUCUCGAGUGGCAAGAAUAGGAUGCUGGUCAAGCUUUGAGGAAGCAACAUACUCUUUAACUCCUUUUGGUAAGUGUUGGAUUAAGCAACGGAUUCGGGUCCAGGGUGCAAAGGAUUUUUUGGCGAAAGCUGAGUAGGGUUUUAUGAGGGGUAGUUCGGUGGAGGAUACUUUUUGUUCGUCGGGUAGGAUAUCUACUUCGUAUAGGUAAUCAUAUUUUUUAGACAGGGUUUUGUAUAGAGUGGGAGACAUAUUCAUUUUUGCUAGGGAAGAGGAUGAUGGAAAUGACUCAGACAUAUUUAGUAAACUGUUCCUCCCUCCAAAAUAAUGGGCUGGCUCUGAUACUAUAGUAUAAAGAAUAGAGUAAGAGACUACAGAGUAUAAAGAACAGAGUAAGAGACUCUAAGAAAGCAAACUAUACCAUAGAUAUGAAAGUUUCCCUACAAAAGGGGCUGGCUUCAACAACUCAUAAGGGACGGCUAAGCAUUGGAUAUCCCCUUUGUUCUUGUACAAGGGGCACACUGUACUCCACCUCCACUCCCCCGUCAUCCUCUUGCUCCGGAAGAUCACAUUGAACAACCUGGACAGCUACUCCACUCUUGAUCUACCCAUGCAUUUCCAAAACUCCACCGGGAUUUUUCCAGGCUUGGUUUUCAUGGAAAUUAGUAUGAAUUUGAAAGAACAGUCUCAGUUGAAAGCAUUAAAUUUGAAAGGUUUGACUAAGAGUUGACUUAUUUGGAUAUGAUAGAAAUUUUUAUGAUUUGAUUAGCUUCGUUGGGUGAUUUAUGACUCAGGAGUGUGAUUGGAAUUGAUUUUGGAGGUUUGGUGUAGAAUUAGGCUUGAAUUGGCGAAGUUAGUAUUUUGGCGAUUUCCGGUUGAUAGGUAAGAUUUUGAUCCAAAGUAUAAAGAAUAGAGUAAGAGACUCUAAGAAAGCAAACUAUACUAUAGAUAUGAAAGUUUCCCUACAAAAGGGGCUGGCUUCAACAACCCAUAAGGGACGGCUAAGCAUUGGAUAUCCCUUUUGUUCUUGUACAAGGGAACUACUGUACUCCACCUCCACUCCUCCGAAAUCCUCUUGCUCCGGAAGAUCACAUUGAACAACCUGGACAGCCACUCCACUCUUGAUCUACCCUUGUAUUUCCAAAACUCCACCGGGAUUUUCCCAGGCUUGGUUUUCAUGGAAUUAGUAUGAAUUUGAAAGAACAGUCUAAGUUGAAAGCUUUAAAUUUGAAAGGUUUGACCAAGAGUUGACUUAUUUGUAUAUGAGCUCAGAUAGAAAUUUUUAUGAUUUGGUUAGCUUCGUUGGGUGAUUUAUGACUCAAUAGUGUGAUUGGAAUUGAUUAUGGAGGUUUGGUGUAGAAUUAGGCUUGAAUUGGCGAAGUUAGUAUUUUGGCGAUUUCCGGUUGAUAGGUGAGAUUUUGAUCCAAAGGUCAGAAUGGAAUUCCGAGAGUUGCUGUAGCUUUGUUAUAUGAUUUGGGAUGUGUGUGCAAAAUUUUAGGUUAUUCGGACGUGGUUUGGUUGGGUUUCAAAAGUGUGUUUCGGAAGUUUUUAACAACCUUAGGCUCGAAUUCAAUGUGAAUUGAUGGAUUCGGUGUUGAUUGAGGUAUUUUGAUGAAUGGAACAAGAUUGAAUGAGGUUUUAGUAUGUGUUAGUGCUUAUGGUUGUGGUCCCGGGUGCCUCGGGUGAGUUUCGGAUGGCCAAUUGGACCAUUUUUUGACUUAUGAGAUUGGUUUUGGCUGAUUAGGUAUUGCAAAGUUUUGGCCUUCGCGAUCACAUAAGUUGUGUCGCGAUCGCGUAGAAAGAAAUUUGAGGGCUGGUAAUUUGCACUUCGCGUUCGCGUCUGAGGGUCCGCGUUUGCAGAAGGCUAGUUCAUUGCAUUCACAUAAGGCCUCUCGUGUUCGCAUAUUACAAUGUGUGGAUCAGGGGUCCUUAACCUUCACGUUCGCAACUGGAGUCCCGUGUUCGCAUAGAUUGGAAAAGGAAUGCAUCGCGUUUGCAUAGCAGGCAUCACGUUCGCAUAGUGCAUUUUAAGGUCUUGGAAGUUUUGCUCUUCACGAUUGCGAGGCUUGGGCCACGAUCGCGAUGAGGGAAAUCCAGAACUAGGCAGUGAGUUUAUUAAAAUAUUUUAUUUGCGAUUUUGAGCCAUUUUCCAUCAUAGUUGAUCAUUGUGAGAGCUUUUUGAGGGAGAUUGAAGAGGGAUUCAAGGAGAAGUGAUUGGAGGUAAGAUUUAUGAACCUAAAACGUGAUUUUAUUGCGAAAUUAACCUAGACAUUUAUGGAACUUAAACAAAAAUAAAAGAACUAGGGCUUGGGAUAUUGAAAUUUUAAAUUGGGAUUUGAAGGACCAUUUGAGGUCGAAUUUGAGAACUUUUGGUAUGUAUGAACUUGUAGGAGGAUAAGAAAUCCCUUGAUGUGAAAGUUUCUGAGUUUUGAGAAGUGGGUCCGGGGCUCGGGUUUUGCUAAUUUUGGGAUUUUCGAUAUUUUUCGAUUGUUUUUGCUUGGGUUUUGUUCCAUUAGCAUAUUGUGAUGUAUUCGUUCUGAUUUUGGAUAGAUUCGACGCACGUGGAGGCCGAUUCGAGGGGAAAAGGCAUCGCGAGCUAGUGAUGUAGCCGGUUCGAGGUGAGUAAUGAUUGUAAAUGAUAUUCUGAGGGUUUAAAAUCCCUGAUUGCAUAUCGUAGUACUAUAUUAAGGUGAGACACGCACUUGAUGAUGAGCGUGGGGUCAUUAACUACUGAGGAUUGUGAGUUGGUCUAGCGGUGGGCAUAUAUCGGGUAAAAUCGAUAACCCGAAUCGUUAAUUAUUUAUUUGUUUAUAGGUUAACGGUUCGGUAACAGGUUAAAAAUCUUUUUUAUUGGGUUAUCGGUUCGGGAUUGGUUUGCAAUUCUGUUAUUGGGUAAAAACCGAUAACCCAAUAAGAGUUAACUAAUUUACUAGUUUACCCUUAAGUAUAUGCAUAUUAUACUAAGGUUCUAUAAUUGGUUUUCCUAUUCUUUCUCAAUUCUCAGCAAGUUAAUUUAUUUUUCUCAGUUUCUCAAUUUUCCCGCCGCACUCGUACGGCCCAACCACACUAGUUCUCUGCCUCACCACGGCUCACGCCCCCACCAGUUCUCCGCCUCAUGGCUCACACCCUCACCAGUCACUAGUCAUCUCGUCAAGACUCGGGCCAACCCCACUCAUCAGUCACAUCACGCCUUCACUAGUCAAGACUUAGACCGGCGUGUAGGUUUUUUGUUGCUUAGUCUUCAUAUUUUUCUUAGUUUGUUUGAAAGUAUUCUGGCUCUGAAAUUUUUUUUGGGGUUGUGCUGUGUGUAUGCGUGCUGCUAUUGUUUGAGAUGUUGUUCUAAUCAUUUGUCUAGUCUUUAAACAUAUUUGGAGAUUCUGUUUUAUGAGAAAUGAAAUGAGCUUUGACAAGAAAUGUAUAAAUUUGGUGUUGUUGCAUUAUCCAUUUAUAAUUUUAACAAGUAUUUCUUUUUUUUGGAAUAUUAAGAAUCCUAAGAAGUAAAAUUCUGUUUAACUGUUCUUAAGGAUACAAGACCAUGUUUUAUUAACAAUUCCACCUUUAUAAUCCUAUAUUUAUGAAUCAGAAAGUUGUCAAAGACAACAGAAAUCUGAUUUAUUUCUUGACUUCUGGCUCAAUAUAAUUGAGAACUCGACAGUUUUAUGUAUUGUAAAAUUAUUUAGCUGUUUUAUCUUAUCGGGUAAACCGAUAACCAAACUGAUAAUGAUCAAUAACUAAUUAAUCCAUAACCAAUAUCUUAUUGGUUUGGUUAUCGGGUUAUGGUAUUUGUAAACCGAUAACCGAUAGGUAAAACCGAUAUUAUUCAAAAUCGAACCGAACCGACCGAUGCCCACCCCUAACUUGGUCCGUCCCGAUUAAUGAUUUUACCGUGUAGUUAACUGUAACUUAUUUGUUAUCAUCAUGAUUUGGGCUGAUUGCCAUAUUUGGGCUUCGUGCCAGCUAUUUGAAUCCCUUCAGGGAUGAUUGUUGAUAUUUACUCACUGUUUUGAUUUUAUACUUGAACUAAGUCAUUUAUUUUUCACUGUUUUCAAAAAUCAGCCAAGUUUAUUUUGUUUUAGCACUUGAAAUAAUAUUUUCAAUAAUAUUUUUUGGCUGAGCAUCAUAUUUUACUAUUGCCCGAGUGACUUAUGUGAUUUCUGACUGAGUAAAGCCGAGGGCCUAUAUUGUGAGGGAUACUUUUGGAUCGGGAUGCACGUUGCAUCAGUAAGAUACUGAUUUGAUUAUGAAGCCGAGGGUCUGAGACAUGUACGCCACGAGGUGUCUUGUGAUUGAUAUGAGGCCGAGGGCCUAGAUUUGAUGCCACGAGAUGGCUUGAUGUUGUGCUUGGGGCAUAAGGGGCCCCUCUCGGAGUAUGUACACCCCCAAUGAGCACCGUCAAUGAGAUAUAUGGAUCGAGCUGCACGCUGCAACAAUAUAUGGAUCAGGCUGCACACCGCAUUGGUGCUGGUACCGUACUACAUGUUUACUUUAUUUCAUUUGUGUGCAAUUAUUUGUUAUUUGUGCUAUUUCAUGUGAUGUCUACCUGAUUGCCUGCCAUUAUCUAUUAAUUGAGUAUUGUGACCGAGGGGCGGAUCUCUGUGCUUAUUUGUACUAUUUGUUUGGCAUUCAUUUGCGUAACUGUUGGAAAAGUCGUUUUCAAAAGAGGUUUAAACUGAGCUAAGAAGUUUUUCUAAAGAUUUCACAGCUUCAUUAUGUUUCCUCAAAGGGUUUUACACUGCUCUAUACAACAUGAUGGUUUGUCUUAUGUGAUUUCUUACUGCUUAGUUAUUAUUUACCUUUAUUACUCACUGAAUUGGAGUACUCACUUUACUCACUGCACCUCAUGUGCAGAUGUAGGUAUUCGUUCACCUGAUAGCGGGUUUUGAGCUGAUCGGAGGCUAAGUUAUCGGAGUUUAGCGAGGUGAUUGCCAGCGUUUGCAGCAUCACACUUCUUCACUUUGUUUAUCAGUCCUAUUUUAUAUAUUUCAGUCCUUGUAGUUGUAUUUAUACUCUAUUAAAUGCUCGUGACUUGUGUCAACCCGGUUUGAGCUGUGUUUGGUUGUAUUCCGCACUUUAUAAAGAAAACUUAUGUAUAGACUGUGGUUAUUUAAUUAUGCGAAAACUGUUUAUGAAUAUUAACUAUUCUGAAAAGGCCAAAUGUGUUAGUUGGCUGGUCUUGUCUUCACGAGAGACGCCAUCAGGACGGGAUCAGGAUUUGGAUCGUGACAUUCUCUUAUUCUCAUUUUCAACCUUCCAAACAUUUUUCUUAAGGGGUGUUUCAUAAAAUCUACUUCUCAUAUUUUGCUUCUUUCUUUUUUAUUUUUUAUUUUUUUAAUUUUUAGUUGUUAAACACAAAUUUGUGUAUAACUAACUUUGUUUUCUCUUCAUCAAUAUAUGUAAUUAUGAAGAAUAAAUACAAUCUAAACUCAUGUCUUUCUUUUUGCUAUAUAAAAAGUGUGACAAAUCAUAAAGUUCAUAGUAUGUUCAUGAAUUGAUAACAAAAAAAUAAUACAAAUUUAUAACACUAUUAGAAUAUACCUUUUCCGACUGCAAAUUCUGACUACAAAAUGUCAGUCGCAAUUUUUCGACUACUAUAGUCGAAAAUAUCAUAUUUAUCUUUUAAUUUAUUUUAAGAAUUAUUAUGAAUACGUUUUUGCCUACGUUUCGCGGGAUAUCACGCGCUUAGAGGUUUCCAACUACCGUAGUCGAAACAUGAGAUAGUAAAGUCAAAAGCACUUUUGACCAAGUGGUCCCCAUAAUUGUUUUAACUGAAAAAAUUAAAUAAUAUUUAAUUUUCGACUACAGUAAUCUCGGAAACUUUAAGUUAUUUUCCUCUAACCCUUAUGUUCUAUUUUUUUCACAAUCUCUCUCUUACUCUGUCUCUUUCUCUGUAUCUCCUAGCCUUUCUCUCAACGGCACUGGCAAAAUCGGGACUUCAUCAGGUAAACUCUCUCUCUUUCCCGUCUAAUCUUCAGCCAAGACAAGGGUUUCGAUUUUAAUCAGAGCUUUUCAUUCUCUUCACAAUUCUUUGUCAAAAUCUGCCGAGGUCUUAAUUAAGUACUGCUGCCGAGGUCUGCAAACAUACAUUAGGUUAAUAACGACACAAAUACCUAGAAAAUUUCUUUUCACUUCCAUAUAUAAUUGCAUAUAACGUGCAUAAUCUGAUAGUAAUGUGGUAGUUCCUACCAGUAAAAAGAGGGUGAGGGAACCUCAUACUCGGUGGUGCCUUCAAUUAUAAAGUACAGUAUAUAUUUACUGGUUAAUUUGUUGUUUAAUCCUUUUUAUUUCCUAAAGAAAAUUAAAUUUCGUUGUUUGUUUCUUGAGCAUUCAAUGUAGACUGAUCAUCUAAUUUUCUUGAGUAGCUAAUUAUAUUUGAUUUAGGAGAUAAGUUAUAUAGUCUAAAGAUCAAUUUAUACAGUAUAUAAAUUUAUACAGUAUAUCAAUUUAUACAGUAUACAUGUGUAUUUUGAUUGGUUUCCUCUAUCUUUCAUAUUAUCGUAUCAAGAGUUAAUAUUGUAAAUCAACAUUAUCAAAUUGAGUCCCUGGCCAUGUCGUAUCCCGAAUAGAUGUGCAUUUAGAAUUUUUAUAUUAGUUGGUGUGACUUGGAUAAGAGAGACGUGUCUCAAAAGUGGAUCUAAGAUUUUUAUAAUAUAGGUGCACCACUAAAAAAAGAGAAAAAGAAACUUUAAAGUAUGAAUUGAUCCCUACUCCUUCAGGUAAAUAACUCAUCAUUCAACCAAGUGCACCAUUUAGCCUCUUUGGAGCAUGGGUGCCAUCAGAGAAUACUAGACUAAUUCCAAUAAAAAUGUACAUAAAAUAUCUAGUUUGACGGAAAAAACAUGGGUUCACAUGCCACAUCAAUUUGCCUACAAAUCCGUCCCCGUCAGCCGGGCUUGGGCCGGUCCUGGCAGGCCUGGCGGGCCUAAACGGGUCCAACGACUAUUUUUUAAAAAAAAGUUUUUUUAUUUAAAAUAAGUAAUGGUCAUAUUUAAAAUAUAGCCUUUUGGGCUGAAAAUAUGUCCGUUUGGAAGUUUACAAAAUAGCCAUUUGGCCCCCAAACUUGGCGGAUCUAGGAUUUUUAUAACAUAGGUGCACCACUAAAAAAAAGAGGAAAAAAAACCUUAAAGUAGGAUUUGAUCCCUAGUCCUGCAGGUAAAUAACUCAUCAUUCAACCAAGUGCACCAUUUAGCCUCUUUGGAGCAUGGGUGCCAGCAAAGAAUACUAGACUAAUUCCAAUAAAAUUGUACAUAAAAUAUCUAGUUUGACGGAAAGAACAUGGGUUCACAUGCCACGUCAAUUUGCCUACAAAUCCGCCCUGACGUGUCCCAUAACAUGCCAUCACCUCCUCUGCUGUCAUUGCUGUUUUCUUGAUAAAAAAACUCUGUUACUGUUAAGAGUAUGAGAAGGAGAAGAGUAAAAACUCCCUUCAAUAUUAGUAUUGUCAGUCACAUUCUUGUUAGCUUCUUGACCAUGCCAGCUUAAGCCUGAUGGAUGAUCACAUUGCAAUUGAAACAAGAAAUCUGAAUUUUUUUGGAAAGAACAUUCUGCUCAAAGAUUGACAUUCUUCAUCAAAGAAAGCUCCCACAAAUUCCAUUGUGUUUUUAUUUUGAAAGGCUGGUAAGGAGGGGAGAAUGACCAGUGGCUUGCUAAAUAUAACCACUAAAUAUUCUCAAAAGUGAUACAUUGAUGCUUCUCUUCCAAUGAUCGAGUACAUUGGCAAACUUUAUCAUUCCAGAAGUAUAAGCUUGGAUUGGAGAUAUCAUACUUUUACUUGGAUUGGGAAUAAGCAACAACAAAUGACAUUAAUGCUUCAGAACCUCUGUGAUAGUAGGACCUUGCACCUCUUGUGUACGAGGUUAUUGGAUUAUACUUUUUAUCGGUAUUUGUAAAAUACUGGCAUGAUAUGAGUUUGUCACUACUACUAGUUUUUUUAUGUUGUAUAUAGUUCACGUAAAGGCUCUUUUUCUUUUUGAUCUUAUUUAGUCCUAGUAAUAUUUAGAUAGAAAAAAAUAAUAUCUUAUGUUCUCAUCCCAUAUUUACGUUCACUCAUACAGGUCAUCUUGAUUUUGUAGAAGCCUAACGAGUACAAAGGUUGAUAACUAAAGGAAGGUUGGCACUAUCGGUUUAUCAUCCAUUUUGACUUUUAUUUUUUAGUUUCUUCCUUGCUGUGACAGGUAUAUCUAUAUAUCUUUUUUUUAAAAAUAUAUGUUUAUGAAAAAUAUAUCUUUAUAUAAGUUAUAGGACUUGCCUCAUUCUUCAUGGUACCUUGUUUGCCAAUAAUUAAAUGGUUGAGUUUUAUUUGUGUAAAUUUUAAAGUUUGGUUUCACUUUGAUGCUAGGAGUUAACUAUUAAUUUAAAUUUAUAUGUUAUUCAUUUCAGUUUAAGUUUGAAUGAAAUAAUGAAAUAAUACUAUAUAAUCAUUACAGUAUUUAGCAUAGUACUAAGUGCAAUUUCUCUGAAUAUUAUUGCUGUUGCAAAUUUAACUAGUCAAUUGGACAUGUGAGACUUCUCUUGUUGAAUUUUGAUUCCGAUAUAAACUAGUAGAUAUACUUUUGAAUAUAAUCAAUCUAAUUUUUGUUGUGAAAUUUUAUAUUUAUAGAGUCAUUCAUAGUUAAAAUAUUGAAGGUAUUACAAUUAUUCAAAGUAGGAACCUUUAGAAGAAUAUCUCAAUAGUUUUUUCUUUUGAUGUAGAUGGAAUUUGAGCAUCAUAAAUGGAUAUAUAUUAUGGACUCAUCCUAAUCGUGCGGGAUUGAGAGAGGAAUUUAUAGAAGGGGUUUCGGGGUUUAUUGCUAAGGCGAAAUCGCUAAAUGAUUUUCUUAUUGAAGGACAAUUAUGUGCCCUUGUAUUAAAUGCAAGCGUGUCAAGUUAUUGAGACCAGAUGCAGUUGAACUUCAUCUUUACAAGAAUGAAUUUAUAGAAAAUUAUUAUGUGUGGACUGUUCAAAGGGAGAAUCAUGAUUUCAUAAUUCUUUUGGUGGUGAGAAUAGUCCCAUAAUAGAAAAUAAUUUUGAAAAUUCUCGAUUCAAUGAAAUGAUGAGAGAUGCGUUUGAUAUGUUCUCAGGGGCUCACUUCGAACUAAAUGACGAGGCUAAGCAUUUUUAUGAACAACUAGAGAAAGCUAGUCGUCCAUUGUAUGAAGGCUCAAUGCAUUCCAAGUUGUCUGUUACAGUUAUACUACUAACUAUCAAAUUCGAUAGUUCUAUUUCUCAAGUGGGCAUGGAUUCUAUCACUGGGAUUAUGAAUAAACUAAAUCCGAAUAAAAUUGAUUUACCCAAAAAUUUCUAUACUGAAAAAAAAUUGGUGUCCAAGUUAGGACUUUCAUCAUAGAGGAUUGACUGUUAUGAGAAAGGAUGCAUGUUAUUUUAUAAGAAUGAUGCAGCGUCAGAAAACUAUAAGUUUUGGAACCAACCUCGUUAUAAGGAGGUUACAAAUGCUAAUAGGAAGAAGGUUCCAUUGAAGGCUAUGCAUUACUUACCCCUUAUACCAAGGUUAAAGAGGUUGUAUGCAUCAAUGAGCUCCGCUCCUCAUAUGAGAUGGCACUAUGAAUAUGGAAGGCCAACCGGUGUUCUACGUCACCCGUCAAAUGGAGAAGCAUGAAAGCAUUUUGAUAGGAUAUUCUCGGACUUUGCAAGUGAACCAAGAAAUAUUAGGUUAGGAUUAUGUGCCGAUGGAUUCACUCCAUUUGCAGUAUCUGCCGCACCAUAUUCAUGUUGGUCACUGUUUGUUUCGCCGUAUAAUCUUACUCCAGAGUUUUAUAUGACAAGUCCAUAUUUGUUCCUAACUUGCAUUAUUCCAGGUCCACGCAAUCCAAAAAGUUUGAUUGAUGUAUACAUGCAGCCGUUAAUUGAUGCGUUAAAGUUAUUGUCGCAUCAAGGUGUGGAAGCCUAUGAUAUAUCAACUAAACAGAACUUCAGAUUGCGUGCCGCUUUAAUGUGGAUUAUAAAUGUGAAAGGAGAGGGUAUUCUGCUGAGAUGAUGCCUUGUUCCGGUUUGGGACUUGUCUUGGUUCUUGUGAUUAUUUUCCAUGUCAUUUUUUAUCCAGUAGCAUCAGAAGAUGGUUAUCUGUUUGAUCUAGAAACAAGAAUAUAAGGGAUGUACCGAGAGAAAUUUAGCCACUUACAGAUUCUUGUUCUCUUUUUCCUGAUGUUUGGCAAUCUGGUUUCACAAAUGUAGCCGUUGAUUGAUGAGUUAAAGUUAUUGUGGUAUCAAGGUGUGAAAACCUAUGAUAUAUCAACUAAACAGUACUUCAAAUUGCAUGCUGCUUUAAUGUGGACUAUAAAUAAUUUUCCUGCUUAUGGAAUGCUAUCUAGGUGUUCGACUGCUUAAAAGUUAGCUUGCCCGACUUGCAUGGAAGACACAAAAGCGUUCACUUUAAAAUAUAGAGGUAAGAGCAUAUGGUUUGACUGUCAUAGUCAUUUCUUACCUAAGGAUCAUGAAUUUAGGAAAAACACUAGUGCAUCUAUGAAGAAUCAAACUGAUUAUGAAGAGCCACCUUCAGUCUUGUCACCAGAAGAAAUUUGGAACAAAGUUAGGGAUCUACCUAUGAUAGCAGAGUCUCCAUUGCCUAAUAAGAUAUCUGGUUAUGGUGUUACCCAUAACUGGACUAAACAUAGCAUAUUUUGGGAGUUAUCUUAGUGGAAGCAUAAUUUUCUAAGGUACAAUGUUGUCGUCAUGCAUAUUGAGAAGAAUGUUUUUGAUAACUUGUUUAAUACUAUGAUGGAAGAUAAAAGAUAAUUUGAAGGUCAGGAUGAACUUGAAUGAAUAUUGUAGGCGAAGUGAGUUCUACCUUACAUACUUGAACAACAAAAUUUAGAAGCCCAAGGCCAGUUACACAUUCACUUUAGAUGAGAGAGGAGAGAUUUGUUAGUGGAUUAAGAAUUUAAGUAUGCCAGAUGGAUACGGGUCACACAUAUAUAGGUGUGUUGAAGUGAAAGAAGGGAAACUGAUGUCAAUGAAAAGCCAUGAUUGUCACAUUUUCAUGGAAUAAUUGAUGCCUAUUGCGUUCAAUGCCUUGCCUGAUAUAAUAUGGAAGCCUAUCACAUAGAUAAGCUUACUUUUUAAGGAGUUGUGUUCUAGCAAAUUGAGAGUGGAGAAUAUAACUUACAUGGAGAGUAAUAUUCACUUAACUUUAAAUAAGUUGGCAAAAUUGUUUUCUCUUGGUUUCUUCGAUGUAAUGUAGCAUAUUCCAAUUCACCCUGCACAAGAUGCACGACUUGGAGGGCUAGUUCAGUAUAGAUGGAUAAUCCACUUGAAAGGUAAUACAUAAUUUUUAAUCAUUUCCCUUUAUUAAUUUUAAUGAAAUAUUGUUCCGUCUAAGAAAUCGUAAUAUGUAGGAUUAUUAACAAAUGUAAGCGGACCGUAAAAAAUAGAUCAAGAAUUGAGGUAUCUACACAAAUACGCAGGAUUUUUAUUCAUAUUAUUUUGAACAUGAUGUGUCAUGUUUGAGAAAUAGACCUAAUCGAUGUGAAGAUGGAGGAAGUAAUCCUUCAGCAUCACCAUUUUCCAUAUUCAAUCAACCAGGAAAAGGUGAUCCAAAAAGUAGUUCAAAACGAAUUUUGACUGAGAAGGAGCUAGAGUCAGCUACAAUACAUGUAAGAGUUGUCCCGAGGUCCAAUGUAUUAUAGGUAAAUAUAUAUUUAUAUUACCAAGUUCCAUACAAGAUUUAGCCUUAUUUUAACUAAUGAAUAUUAUAAUUGUGUGGGACAUGUACUUUGUGAGUACAUAUUGGUAGAAUGUUGUUUAUCCUAGGUUUUCAAAAUGGUUUAGAGAAUUUGUAAGUGUUACUUAAUAUUUAACAUGGUUUUUGUUAGUUGCAAAUAAAUUAUAUGUAAUUUAAAAUUCUAAAUGUUCUCUAAUUCUAUAUAGGUUCAUAAUCCAGCUAAUGGCAUACGUGAUCAAUUUCUGCAUGAUAUAGCUUGAGGACCUGAUCCUAGAGUCAGAAAAAUGUCUAGGUAUUGUGUUAAUAGGUAUAAAUUCCAUAUAGAAGAAUGGUCUAAGGGCAAUAAAACCAAUAAUAAUGGGGUGUGGGUAAAAGGUGAAGGGGAUGUUCAUUAUUAUGAUGUGAUUCAAGAGAUUUUAGAAUUCGAGUACAAUGUUAGUUGGCCAAAGAAAAAGUUCGAACUCUUUCGGUACAAGUGGUAUGAUCCAGCACCAUUGCACAAAAUGUAAAACAAGUGUAUUACACUCCUUAUCCUUUGUGCAAGAAUAAGUCCUCAUGGAGGGUGGUUAUUAAAACAAAACCCAUGGAUAGAGUGGAAGUUGAUGAUAUUUUGGAUGUAGCUUAUCAAAAUGACAUUUCAAAUGUUGAAGCAUUGGUAGAUGAUGAAUUCGUAGGUGAAUUAUACCAUAGUGAAGGCAUCUAUGAUGAACUUGUUAUUUCUGUCCUUAGAUCAAAUUGAAAUGAUGAUGGGAGGGAAUAUGAGGAGGAAGACCUACCAAAAGAUUAUGAAACAAGCGACGAGGAAGAAUUACUUGAUAGAAAUGAAACAAGCGAUGGAGAAGAAUUACUUAAUGACAGUGGAACAAGUGAUGAGGAAGACUCUAAUAAUAAAUAUGAAUCAAGUGAAGAUGAUUGACUUGUUGUAUUUUUAUUAUCUUUUUAAAUUUUAUAUUUAUCCUUAGUUAUCUAAUAUGUUGAAGAAUUGUUUUAUGUUUUUAUUAUGUCGUUAGGUUUUAUGCUAUUCUUUAAUUAUUUAAUUUAUUGAAAAUUACUUUAUGUGUUUAUUAUUUCUUUAAUUUUUAUGUUUUUCCUUAAUCAUCUAAUUUUUUGAGAAAUUACUUUAUAUUUUUAUUAUUUUUUAGAAUUUUUAUGUUUUUUUGCUUAAUCUUCUAAUAUGUUGAAGAUUUUAUCUCUUUUAUGCUUUUAUAUUUUUUUCCUGAUCAUCUAAUUCUUUAUAUUUUUAAUUAUUUUUUAUACAUCUAAUAUGUUGAAGAUUUGCUUUAUAUUUUUUUAUUAUGGUUAUAUUACGUAGAUGGCAUCUGGGGGUAGCGAUCGUCGACGCGGUAAGGGCAAGGACACUCAAUCACAAUCUCCAAUUGUAGGUCACUCCUCUACAUAUUGGGCCUCCUCCUACUUUUCCUCCUCAGUUAACUUCGUUUCCACCUACAUUUUUUAUGCCCCCACCUGGGCUUGUCCACAUUUCUGUAUCUUCAGCUGGCACGAACUCUGACUCUAACCUUAAUUUUAUUCUCAUACCAACUGUAACUUCUUCUCCUGGUUUUCAUAUUAGUCAAUAAGGUAGUUCCUCAGCACUGCCUACUUCAUUGACUCCAGCUGCAUUUCCGGCAUCAAGCACACUUAGCGUAUCUCGGUUAAAUAUUGGAGUCUCUGGCACACCAACAUCACCAUCCAUUGGUAGUGCUACACCGGCAGAUUCUCGGGGUCGAAGUGGUAAAGUGACUCCACAAUAUGAUGCAUAUGGUAGGCUGAUUAUCGUCCCGGAUGAGAAAGCUGGGUAAGUAAUCCUUAUGUUUAUUCUUAAUUCUGUUGAACAUACAUUUUACAUAUGUUAAU